GUGAGAUUAUGUAAGGAGAGCAUGCAGAAACUUAGAGUGAUGGUAACAACCAGUGGAUCGACGUUUUUUCGUUGAACCAAAAUAGCCCUAAUGGAUCGACGUGAAUGUAUAGUAAUAAGUGAUGCAACAAGUGUACAACCUCUUGGCCGUAGCCGUGUCGACCUCAGCAUCAUUGGGUUGGUCGCUAAAGCAGUUGAGGCAGAGGUGGCUGUCGGAGGUGUGGAGGAAGAUCUGAGGAAUCUGUAGACGGCGUCCAGGGCACUGCUCUAUUGUGAUGGAUCAUUCUGUCGUUGGAGCAGCUCCGGUGAGCCGUAAGACGUCAAGGCUGAAGCAGCACAAGACAGACAUCGUCAAUCUCAAGUGGGAUUCUAAUAGCAUCUCCAAUAUAUGAUGUAAAAUGAAUGUAAAAUUAACAUCACCAAAAACCACCUGACUACAAUAGAUGAGGUAAAAAUUGUUGACUCUGAACUUAAUUGUCGAAACUGAAAUUUACUGUGGAAUCUGAAUGCUACUGUCGAAACUGAACGCAAUGGUAGCAGAGAGGCACUUGACAUGUAGUUUAGGCAGGGCCUGUAGUUCAUCUUCAACCUGCACCCCCCUAAGCCGCCAGCCACCACCGGCCGAACUGCCAGCCCCAGCGCCGCCUCGCCGCCCCGAAACAACUCGCCACCGCCGCCCCGGCCAGCCCUCUAGGCCCCCCGCCCCCACCCUGAACCCUAAGAUAGAUAGUGGGGUACCUCUCCGGCGAGCCCCCGUCCUUGCUGCGGGUGGUUCUUCCUUAACUNNNNNNNNNNNNNNNNNNNNNNNNNNNNNNNNNNNNNNNNNNNNNNNNNNNNNNNNNNNNNNNNNNNNNNNNNNNNNNNNNNNNNNNNNNNNNNNNNNNNNNNNNNNNNNNNNNNNNNNNNNNNNNNNNNNNNNNNNNNNNNNNNNNNNNNNNNNNNNNNNNNNNNNNNNNNNNNNNNNNNNNNNNNNNNNNNNNNNNNNNNNNNNNNNNNNNNNNNNNNNNNNNNNNNNNNNNNNNNNNNNNNNNNNNNNNNNNNNNNNNNNNNNNNNNNNNNUGAAGUGUGGCUUAAUCGGAGCAGAGCAGCAGCAUGAGAGAGGGGGAGAGCAGCAGCAACAGUUGGGCGAGCGAGCGAUCGAGUGAGAGCCGGAGCAGCAGCAGCAGCAGCAGCAGCUGCGCGAGCGAGCGAGCGAGAGCCGGAGCAGCAGCAGCAGAUCUGGCUGGUAUGGACGCCGCCGCCGAAGCGGCCUUGCACUGGGGGAGAGCCGCCAUGGAGAUGUCGCCCGCGGCGCCGGCUUCAAGGUAGCCGCUCCAUGGGGGUCCGGGAUGGAGCACCGUCGGCACCGGGAGGUCGAGUUAAGGAGAAGGUGCGAUGCGAUGAGUGUACAACCUCUUUGGUGGCGCCGAGUAGGCCUCAGCUUCGUCCAAGGAGUGGGUGAGGAUGUUGCGGUUCCGGUGGAGCAGUUUAAGGUGGCGCUGUGGGGAUGGAGCGGCCGCGAUAGACGAGGCGAUCGUCGAAGCAGCUCCUUGGAGGUGGAGGACGGGGCGGCUGAACUGGCGGGACGGCGAGAUGGACGAAGAAUCCUCAUCCAGGGAGCUGGACGAGGGACGUCGAGCUGUUGUGGUGGACGACAUCGUCGGGGAAGAGGCUUCGGCUGGGCAGCGGUGACGUGGCGGACAAAGGAGGGUGGGGUUUUGCGGCUGGAGCGGAAAGGUUAUGGCGGCCUGGGAUUUCAAUUGGCGAAAAGGGGGCGAUGGGAGGGGGUGAAGCAUGACUUAGGGACGCGCUUGUCCAAAAUGUAGGGUGUGUUACAAAAGUACCCCCCCCCCACCGAUUUGAACUAGCGGCCCUUUCGGCUCAGGGUUAGAAGGGGGAUUUCGCGUGUCGGGAUUUGGCAGCUGGAGGGAGUUUUCGCCGCGUUGUAAUUUCAGGAUUGCAAGGCGCGGGUUGUGAAGGUGCCAGUUUUGGGAGCACGAUAUCUGAAUUUUCGGGAUAUAACAAGACGCGGGUUGAAUUUUAGGGACAAGCCUAACCUGUAGUAAUAUUGUACUUGUACGUACCAAAUCAAUUUACACUUCCCUCAACCAAAAAGAAAACGAAAAAAAUAAAACUAUUCACACCACACAAAGAGAGAGUCUUGCCCCGUUUUACUAUAGAAAUGCUAUUCAAAGCUACUCCCUCCUUCCAUCUAUAUAGGGCCUAAUGCGUUUUUUGAUGCUAACUUUGACCAAAUAUUAGAGCAAUGAUAUAUGACAUGCAACUUACAAAAAGCACACCGUUAAAUUCGUCUAUGAAAGGUUCUUUCAAUGAUAUAAUUUUCACAUUGUGCAUGUCAUGUACUAUUAAUCUUGUCAAUAGUCAAAGGCAGUCUUAAAAAUCUCAUUACGCCCUAUAUAGAUGGAAGCAGGGAGUAUGAAUCCAUGUUAUGUCCGAUUAAAUUUUUUUGCUUGCUGUAUAAUGCAUGUAACCUACUCAUACCAACAUUUAGUGCAUUCCAAAUGUCUAUACUACUACUCCAAUUCGAACUAAAUUUGAAUUCGUUUCUCUAUUAUAAUAAGAAUCUACAAUCAUGAUUGUUCCUAACUUCAACCAUCAUAGUUUCCUUGCUAUCCGCCAGAUAUAAAUCGGACGGCCUAUAAUGCAGGAUGGCAGGCACAUCAUCAUCAACAACUCUGUUUUUUAUAAGAGUAGAGAUAAAAUAUAUUAAAUGUAGUAUAACAUGUUCAUAACCACACCAUGUGUAUCACCGUUAUAUAUAUUCAUACAUGCAUCGGUUUGAAACACUAUGAUAAAUUCUUCAAAUAUCCGAAUUCGCUUUUUAUAAUGAAGUAUAUAUGAUCUCUAUUCAUCUUUUACACCCACACAACCCUCUUACCUUUGUAGCUAGCGCUAACUCUCUCUUGUGCAUGCACAAGCCCGCAUCCCUCUCACCCUCCCUCAGCAUUCUCUAGCUCCAUCGCGCAAAUUCGUCUUUUCACUUUAGGCCGUUCACCCAUGAUGUGUGUAGGCCCGCCAGCUCCUUCUUUACGGCACACAUCGAUCGAUAUGCCUCUCUAGCCAGGUGUGCCUAGCACAAACACAAGCUUCCCCUCUUCUCUUGUCACCGUCCAUGCCUCACUCCCACCACUCUUUUCAUUGUUCUCGUACUCGCACACUCCUCCCCCCUCGAUAUAGUAUGCCUCUUGUACCACCUCCUACAUGCAUCCCUCUAUCGCUAUCCUUCUCCUCAUGCCUCAUUUGCUUCUAACACACACAUGCAUGUAUACCNNNNNNNNNNNNNNNNNNNNNNNNNNNNNNNNNNNNNNNNNNNNNNNNNNNNNNNNNNNNNNNNNNNNNNNNNNNNNNNNNNNNNNNNNNNNNNNNNNNNNNNNNNNNNNNNNNNNNNNNNNNNNNNNNNNNNNNNNNNNNNNNNNNNNNNNNNNNNNNNNNNNNNNNNNNNNNNNNNNNNNNNNNNNNUCUCUCCUUUCUCUAACAAAGGGCGAUAGAUCUUCCUAUGUAGUUACGUCUGCUUACCACAGCCACAUCGUCGCCCCUCAUCAUUCGUGCAUGCCUCCUGACCCGUCUCUCACACGCACGUGCACAGACAACAAGCAGUCAUCUCCUCUCUUAUUGAUAUUGCGGGUGUGCCCUCCGUUUGUCUAGCAAGCCUAUCCCACCAUUUGUUAGAUGCAACUCCACUACCACCCCCUCCAACACUCUAGCUCUGUCUCUCUCCCAACCUUAUUCCUCUCCUGCACAUAUGCAUGGAUGCCGAUUGAUCUCCCUUAAUACCUGAGGAAGAUCAAUCUCCUUAAUACAUGAGUUAGGCCUCUCUCCUCCUCCACACAUAUGCCAGCCAUUGUACCUCUAUAGUUAAUUGGGCCUCCCUCUUCCCCCACCACACACCGAUAGUCGAGCGCUGUAGGUAGGUAUCCAUGCCACAGAGACAAAUUGCACAUGUCCCAUCUCACGUUCCAGUAGGCCAGCCACUCUAUAUCUUUCAUGUGGGCACACACAAUUCGAUGGCACUCUUUAUCGGUCGCGCGCGCGCACACACACACAUCAUCCCUCUCUUAAGUUCUAUGGACACCUCAAGCCAAUGAUACCUCCACUCUCUUCUCGUGGAUCGCCCCCUCUAUAUAUAUGUUAUAUCCAGGACUCUAUUUCACACACAUUGCAUAUGNNNNNNNNNNNNNNNNNNNNNNNNNNNNNNNNNNNNNNNNNNNNNNNNNNNNNNNNNNNNNNNNNNNNNNNNNNNNNNNNNNNNNNNNNNNNNNNNNNNNNNNNNNNNNNNNNNNNNNNNNNNNNNNNNNNNNNNNNNNNNNNNNNNNNNNNNNNNNNNNNNNNNNNNNNNNNNNNNNNNNNNNNNNNNNNNNNNNNNNNNNNNNNNNAACCCACACACUAUAUCUCUCUCACACAACCCCACGUAGGUGGUGUACGUAUACAAGAAGAGAAUAGGUACACCGUGCACGUACUCACGCUUCGUGCCCGGCCACACCCGCGCGGGUACACGAUGGAGCUCAUUUCUUUACGAAAUGGCAUCCCACGUGCUAAUUUGAACGCCUGUAGCGGUUGUUUACCUAGGGAGGUCGUGUACCACGCGUGCACGAAACAAAGUUUGACUUAAUGUGUUGCCGCGUUAUUUUUAAAUAAAGUUAUAGCGCUCAAUGGCACGUGCACAGAAUAUAAAACGUUUUUUUAUGGAGAAAAAGGUAGUCCACUCACUAUAUACAAUGGAGCUUGCCUGCCUGGUUUGUCGCUCUUCAGAGUAUCUCACACAAGGCUACGGCCGCCGGGGGAAAGGGAGUGCGGUGGCCUCUCCCUCUCUCUCACCGUUGGUCACUGAUCCGGCCGCAUCCCGUCCGCCGGGGGAAAGGGAGUGCGGUGGCCUCUCCCUCUCUCUCACCGUUGGUCAUUGAUCCGGCCGCAUCCCGUCCGCCGGGGGAAAGGGAGGAAGUCCAUCGUUUCUCCGUUCGACGGUGCCGAGGCAGCACGUCCUGAUCUACAGUACACGCCGUUCUCUCUGACCAAGCUCCGGCGCGGCAGGGCCUACGCCACCUGCUCGCAGAUUCCGCCCGCCGCCGCUCACCUAGUUACAUCCCGACGAUCUCCAGGUAUCCCCUCCGGCCUUGCUCCACUGCCCGUCUUCCCAUGUCGCUGCAUAUGGAUCUUCCAUAGUUCUUUGCCCAAAACAUAGCUCGUUCGACGUACUUUCCAUAUUGCAUUCUCGUCCUCACACCGUUUUAGACAAACACAACCGUGUUGUUAUCUUCCCUUAGGACAAGGAAUAUGCUUCUUUUUUGUCGUCGCAUGUGUCAUCAACUCUUAUUGGCCAGUAAUUGUUUCCUUUCUACCUCUUUUUUGCAAACAGGGCUAUCCAUUUCACCUCGUUGCUAUUGCGACCUUUUGGUGAACUGCACAAAUCACUUUUUUCCUAAGAGUGUUUUGUGCAAUUGUACUAAAAUGUCACACGGGCAACGUCUCUACAUUUCAAUGCGACUGCACAAAGGGAGAUUGGUUUUGCUCUAUCCUCCUCAUCCAACUCCGAGCAUAAUCUUCUCCAACUAGUUAGUCUUAAGAGAGACUGUAAAGGUAACCGGCUUCUAUUUGUGUGUUUAUUGUUUCAUCAGCAGUCCUCUAUUAUCGUAAUCACACUUAAUAUCUUUGGAACAGGGACGCUCAGCUCUAUUUUAGUGGAACUGCACAAAAUGAUCGGAAUGUUGCAUGCUCCAGACAGCUACUUUUUUCCCAACAUGCCUUGUUGAUUUAGACAGCACUGGGGGGACGUUGCUGCCAAUGAAAGCAUGGAUCAAUUUUAAUUUAACACCUUCUCACAACUCUGUCUUCAGUUGUGAUGUAAUUAUUAGCUCUGAUCUGCUAAUAAUUGACAUGCAUUAGCAAGGAAGUUGGUUUUUUAUUGUUUCCGAAAGAGCAUCGAUGGCAAGACAAACGAAACAAAAGCUGAAAGCUCACACCAUUGUACAAUUUCAUGUCGCUGGAAAAUUAUUUGUAUAGUACGUCAAUUAUGUAAACAAAUGAUGGAAGCUUGAUAGCAUUGCCAGAAGCCUCUUCAUCAUCCGGGUCCAUGUGCCAUGCACAAAAUUAUACUCCUUCGUUCCUAAAUAUUUGUCUUUUUACAAAUUUCAAACGGGCAUAUUUUAGAGUAUAGAUUCACUCAUUUUGCUUCGUAUGUGUACUCCCUCCGUUCCUAAAUAUUCUAUUCAUAUUUCUAGAGAUUUCAACAAGUGACUACGUAUGGAGCAAAAUGAGUGAAUCUACACUCUAAAAUAUGUCUAUAUACAUCUGUAUGUGCCAGUCCAUUUGAAAUCUCUAAGAAGACAAAUAUUUGAGUAGUCACUCGUUGAAAUCUCUAGAAAGACAAAUACUCCGGAGUAUAUUUAAGAACCGAGGGGGUAGUGCACAACCGCAUGGGAGACUCAGCCCGGUCAUUGCGCCGCAUUAAUAGUGAGUAACGAGCAGUCAAAUCAUAAGCCCCACCUUUCCCACUGUAAGUUGCUCUGAAGAAGCAACCAUCAAUACGCUCUUCUUUGAAUCCGCUCAUACUACUCCAUCUGUCACUGUUUAUACAGCGCGCUUCAGAAAAAAGAAAAAAAUCUAUGGGACCAAGGCGACUAGCGAUCGGCCUGAAAAAUAGCAUUGGUAGUUAUAGCACGGCGUCUAUUGCUAGAGGGAAUAAUGCGUACACACAUGCAUGCAGUGCUUCCACCGCGGGUACGCACAUGCAUGCACUUACUCCACUCCGUAGUAGUACAGUACAUGGAGAGAAAAUUGUGGACUUGAUUACGGUUACCACGCCCUAAUUAAUUGAGCAUUAAACCAAAUGCGUCUAAAGUCUCUCUGGUGGUGGAAAUGCAUUAAGAGAAAUGCAUCAUAAUGAAGCGCGCCCUGUAAACUAUGACGGAGGAAGGAGUAGUAUGAAGGUGCAAAACCAAGUACGUGUAUGGCCAGUCGGUCAACGCACCUCCUCUUGGCAUAUCACUGACAUGUGGGACAGGAGUGUGAGCAAACUGAUCUCAAUUGACGGCAAAGAGCCAACCCGCCGUUCCUUGAGAGAGACGAGGAGCGAGAACACACAGACGGGCUCGCACGGAGGCCAAGAUAUAUUCGAGCAUGGUUGGUUGAUCGAUAUCAUUCAUUACAUGUUGGGCUGCCGUUUUCCGCCCUUCUCCGGAAUAAACGUGUACUUUAUCAGAGAUAAAAAAAAGAGUACAGACGCUCCACCGUGCAGUUCUAGUAGUAGUACUACUCGUACUAGUGCGCUUGGCUCUUCACCUCUUCGUGAAGUCGAACAAUGAUGGUACUCCGCAUGUUGGGUACUACAGUGUAUGCCUCUGACAAUCUGACACCGAAUGGACUGAUACAUGUCCACCAAGGGUAGGUUGCAUUAGUUAAAAGGCGUAAGUGAGCUUCACCUUGUCCUGCAAGCUUCUCCUUGUUCUGCGAGUUGACGGGACACACCAAAAAGUAGUGCUAGUCCAUACUCCCUCCUUUCCGGUUAAUAUGGAUUAAUCUUUUUUGCGGGUAAAUGAGAGAGAUUUAUUCAUAUAUAAGCAUUCUUAGGACGAUCAGCCAAGACACUGGUCACUGGGAAGCGAGGUACCCUGCAAAAAAAGAAGUAGGAAGCGAGGUGUUUCAUCAAGCCAGCUCUCGGCCACAUUCAAAGUGCAGCAAGCACGGUUCGCACGAAGAUGCGCCGCAAGGUUUGCUGACCUGUUUACAUGCUGAAUAACGAAAAAAGAGGAAAUAUUACCGAGUGCUACUAUUUGUAACAGAUAUGAGCCAGAAUUAAGCGAGAAUUGUGGCAAGUGUUCCGUGCAAUCAACUUCCAUUAUCACAUGCGAAAACCCUCGAAGAGAACCAAAUGUGUUGAAGAUUGCUUUAUCACAUUUUAAAAUUAUAAUAAGAGUGCAGACGCUCCUCCAUCUAGUUCCUAGUACAAGUAUAGUACAUACCUUUAUAGACUAUAGUACUAGUACUAGUAAACUUUGCGCUUGGCUGUUCGCCUAUUCGGGAAGUCGAACAAUAAUAGCACUAGUAGUAUAGUGUAUGCUUCUGGCAAUCGGACACCGAAUUAACUGUUGCACGUCGACAGCCUGAGCGAGGGAGAGCUUGCAUUAGUCAAAAGUUUCUCCUUGUCCUGCGAGCCACCGUGCGCAAGCUUCUCCCGUCCUGCAACCUUCUCCUUGUUCGGCAAGUUGACGGGACACAGCAAAGUACUCUCAGGUUAAUAUGGCUUAAUUUCGAACGAGAUAAAUACACUGUCUGUCACUGUAUAUUUGUAAAAAUACGGUCAGUGGACUUCACAAUACGCUCAUUGCGCUCAAUAUAUAUAUUUUCUGGUGUUUAUACGGUCACUAGCUCACCCUGACUGAGUAUGUGUGUGCAUGCACGUGUAGGUUGAGCACGAGAGUGACCGUGUGUGUUCCGUCGUGUGCUCGGACAUGCAUGCAUUAGGACGCCGCGCGCGUUUUUGCGUCCAUGUGUACGUGUGACUGUUGCAUACACGUAGGGGGAGUACGUGUAGGGGCCACUAAGGAGCAGUCAAAUCACACAGUAAGUUAGUCGGAAGAAGCAACCAUCAUUUCACUCUUGACUGACACGUACGCAAUAUAAAAUGGUUGAUAUGGAGAGAAAAAGAAAACCACUAUAUAUACACUAGCAGGAACCUAAGCUACAAGCCUGCUUGCUUAGGUUGCUCUCUUCACAAGCAUAGAACGACGGGCCUGAUCCCGCAGCUGGGGGAAGGGAACAAUGUUCUGCGUUGACGCGGUUGACAUCGGCGAGGGAGAAAACCCACAGUUGGUGCGUCCCAAUCAGGGGUCACCGUGGUAUGGGCCAAUGUCGCGUCCCAACCACCCUUCUAGCUACAGCCCGACGUCCCAGGUAGUCCAUCUUCCUUUUGGAGCCGGAUUGCUCCAUUGCCGUAGCUCCAUCUCCAUGUCGAUCUUUCUCUACUUCUACCGGCUUCUACUUGUGAUGAGUUUAUGUCUCAUGAACUAGUGCCAGAACUAUUAGUCUAAUCACACUUCUUCAAUAUCUUUGCCAUCAGGGAUGCUCAGGUCGAUUUUAGUGGAACUGCACAAAAGCAUCGUAUGAUCCGAGGGUGACAGCCGUCUUUCCUUCGACAGGUUCUACCUGGCCAGGAAAUUAAAUCAUGUUUAGGGUUUAGGGUUUAAGUCGUAGUGACCCCAUCAGUAGUUUUUUUUUUCGUACACGCUCUCACAACUUUUUUCUUUAGUUGUGAAGUAAAUAUUGGCUAUGAUCUGUGAAUCAUUGAGAUGCAUCAGCAUGCGUGUUAGUUUUCCUUUGUAUUUGAUGGAAUGUUGUAACGGGGCAACCUUGGAAUAAGAAUGAAAAUGGAGUGGAAAGUUUCCGUUUUUCCGGAGAAAAAAUGGAAACGGAGAGAAACCAACGUUUCGUUUCGUUGGAUCGUGCCAUCGAGCAAAACCAACGUUUAAAUCAUGUAUGCUGGAACUGCACAAAUUUGGUGGAACUGCACAAAAGGAGAUCGAGAUUUGUUUGCAGUCUUCGUGGCGAGUUGUUUCAAAUCUUGGUCUCAACCACAUGAUGUGCAGUGUGCUUUGAGAUGUUGUGCUACUUGUUUUGGUACUGUUUUAAAUAAAUGUUGAAUUGAAGCUAUUGUAUUGCUGUCUUUUCCCAUUAAGUAGUGAACAAAAAUGGGACCAACCCAGACAUGAUGCUUCUUGCUUUGUUACAACAAAUUCAGCAUCACCCCCUUUAUAAGCCAGUAAUUGAUGCCACUCUCUGAAUUAACUACUGAAUCUUAUUUCAAAACUGCAACACUUGUUAGGGAUUGGCAGGAUUACCAUUUUUGUGGCUGCAUGUUUCAUCCUUCUUUAUUAGCCAGUAAUUGAUUCCUUUUUUACCUCUGUUUAAACAGGGAUAUAUACUCAACUUGUUGCUAUUGCGACAUUUUGCUUCGCUACGUGAAACACUUUGCUUGAUUUCAGUGCAACUGCACAAAAUGAGAUUGGAUUUCCUAUUCGUGUUGGCAGAUUCGUAUUUUAUCUUGUCCGUCUCAUGAAAGGUCAGUACAUGCCUUCAUCCACAUGAUUGUGCAGUGCGCUUUGAGAUGUUGUGCUACUUGUAUUGGUACUGUUUUAAAUAAAUGUUGAAUUGAAGCUAUUGUAUUGCUGUUUUUCCCCGUUAAGUAGUGAACAAAAAUGGGACCAACCCAGACAUGAUGCUUGUUGCUUUGUUACAACAAACUCUGCAUCACCCCCUUUAUAAGUAGUUAGUCUAUACUUUUGUUGCGCCCACUCUCCCCUGGAACUGUUUAUGCUUUUCGUUAAUCUAAUGUCGCUGGUAAAAUUAAGCAAUGCCACUCUCAGAAUUAAUUAACUACUAAAUCUUAGUUCAAACUGCAACACUUUUUAGGAAUGGUACUAUCCUGCUUUGUAGUUUUUUCUACAUGUUUAACCAAGGUAUUGUUAAGAUAAUGUCUCUGUUAAAAUGAAUCAGUUGCAUUGUUUUAGGAAUGGUACUUUUCUGCUUUGUCGUUCUUUAUACAUGUUGAAACAAGGCAUUGUUAAGAUAAUGUCUCAGUCAAUAUGAAUGAAUAACGCUAAUGGAGAAUUGCUACUCUCCUGCUUUGUUUCCCAUUAAGAUAAAGUAGAUCAGUAGAUGCUUUUCUUCUGGGAGUACAAGUCAUCAACCGUUAUUUCUCAGUAAUUGUUUCCCUUAUACCUAUUGUUGCUUACAGGGAUAUCAAAAUUAAAGCUCGGUUUUAUUCCAACUUCGAUUUUAGUUGAAUUGCACAAAAGGAGCCAGGUCGUUCCACUUUGCAGAAAGAAGCAGUCACUGUUUGCGGUACAUUACAGAAGGAAUGACCGAGAAGCUUUAUAGAGUAUUAUUAGACAUCGGUGACAUGACUAGUCUGCAGAGACCAUUGGCAAUUUAACAACACGUGGAGUGCCCUGGGCAAAAAGUGCCCAAACAAGUACAAGAAGCUACGACAGGACUCCACGAUCAUAAGCAUUAGAUAUUUUUGAAUGGGAAAAUCUUGUCAAAGUUUAAUCAUUGAUGUUAGCAACAAGACAUUAGUUUAAUAUAUUGGAAUUGGAAAACCUUGUCAAAAUUUUCUCAUUGAUGUUAGCCAGAAGACAUGCAUUUGAUAUUUUUGAGUGGGACGCCCUUGCUGUGAGUAGCAUCGAGUGUUUUUUCCUAUUCCUGUGUUCAGUUUAGAAGUAAAUAGUUACUCUACUAAGAUAUUCCUGUGUUAAGAGUUUGUUCUGAAUAUUGUCUAUGUAAUGCCAGGCCUUGUGUUUGAUUGCAAAGUUGAGCUUGGAAUGUUGUGGCAUGCGGCAUCACGAGCUGUUCACCGUGCCUCCUGAGAAUAAUGCUUUGUAUUGUUUUGCAUGUCGAUCUAAUGCUAGUGAUUUGCUUGUUAAGAAGAUCAUCCUCUUCUGUUGUUUUCGUGCUUAAGAAGUUCAUCGUCUGAUGUUUCAUUCAUAGCCUAUACGACAAGUCGGGUAGGUUAGACGUGAAACCAUAUGAUCUUCCGACUAACUCAUGAUAUUAGGCCGUGAUUGGAUUGUCGUUUUCCAACCAAAACCGCUUGUAAAACUGACACUUGUAAAUUAAAGCAGAUGGUCUCGGGCGAAGGCACUUGGUUGGUCGAUUUCAACUAAUAAAAUAUCGGAAGUACUUCACACACGAUAAAAACGCUGAAUGACACUCGGACGAUUGCUAAUCCAGUCGUUAGCUGUUGUUUCAGCCUUGCCCAUGGAUGGCAUGAUACGCACGUCGUGCAUGUAUCGUCUGGUAAUGUCGUCCAUAUAGCAGUGCUCGUAAAAUAUACAGUGGUCUCUCAAAUUACACGCGUAACCCACCGGUUUUACUUACAGACCUCGGGCCCUCGGUUUCAUUAUGCCUGUAUUUUACGCGUUGUUUCCGAUGACGAGUAAAUUACACUUGUAUGUUAAUACAGGUUUGAAAUAAACCAGAGCUCCCAAGCGCGGCCUUACCAUUUCAUGUCGUCUCAGUUUCUCGAAGGUGCUCAUAGGUGUCCGAUGAUCCUAGCUUCCUGAAUGAGCAGCGGGUGCUGUAUCAGACCAUCUGUAGGGCCCGCGAGGCCCUCUCCGUUGUCCUUCGAGUUGUUGCGCUUGCCGUGGCGCCGAGCAUUGACAUCAUCAACGAACAUGAGGAUUCAGGAGAUGACUUUAUUUUGACUGGAUGACACUAGGGACCCACUAGGGCCAUAGCCGUACGUACGCAAGUGCCUCCUUAUUAUGUACAACUAUAUUUUUUUGCUUUCUCCUGGUUUCCUGACAUCACGGUCCCACACCAUUGUCAACCUAUGUAGUCAAUAUAAACGAGAGAAUUGCACAAGGUGCGGCCGACAGCUGGGACCAAGCAGCUCGAGCAGUAUUUGUGUUUUUGAGGCGUGAGCACUGCAGAGUUUUUCUUGGCGAUGAUUUCGUUGUUGUUCAGAGAAGAGCAGGGUAUUAACUCGGCGGGCUGUGGCCCGUCUAGCCCAGGCCAGAUAUCCAGCCUAGAUACUAUUUUUUUCAAGAUGAAAAUGGUUAGCCCAGCUAUACGUCUUUUUGAGGAAUACCCAAGCAAGGUCAACUUGUUAUUCUUCGCCCUGCUGGGCUGCAGAUCUUUCCUCGGAGGGAUGCAUUAGGCUUAAUAGGAAAAUGGGCUUUAAAAAUAAUAAAUGGGAUGUAAUUAUAAAAACUGGGCAGUAACUAUAAAAAAAUGCACCAAACACGAAAUUAGUUUAUAAAAUAUUAUUUAUGGAUUUUGAAAAUCUUAAAUUUUCCUUGUUGUGCGCGCAAUGUUUCGUUGGAUUUUUACGUAAUACAAAUUUAUAUUUAAUAUGACUAGAAAUUUCGGGAUAAAAAUAUUCUGGAUCCCAUCAAAAUGUGGAAAAUUUUAUUGAAUUCUGUCUUCAACGGUUGGUUGAAAUUAUUAAUCGUUGUCCUAGCUAGAAAAUGGGCUGUAGUUUUAACAAAUUGUAAAUGGGUUGUUGUAAAUUCCAUUAGAAUUCAAAAAUGGGAUGUACAUUCUUACAAAAAGCAAAUGGGCUAUAAGUUCUCUGCCACACACUUGUGGGCCUACUAAAUGACGCGUCCCCUAAAAAAUAAGUUGACGCGUAUGCAAGGCUUUGUCAACUUAUUAUAGUCAACACACGGUUCUAGCAACAGUGGCCGUUGGAUGUCUAUCUAAUGGAUGUCGUGCUUCUUCUUCAAUCUCGGAUAUUCUUAGCUUCGGCCGCCCAAAAAAUGAUUCCUCCACCUGACAUCUGGGGCGCAUCGUUUCAUAGGCUGACCUGUGGGCCUACUAAGUUGGAGUGUACCAAGGGCUUUGUCAACUUAGUCAAUAAAAACGAUUCUAACUUCAGUGACCGUACGAUGUCCAUCCAACGGCCAUAGUGCUUCUUCAACCUCUGGUCUUCUUGGUCCAGCCGCCCAAAGCAGCGUCGGUCGUGCCGCCUGCUCCUGCCUCCUGUGGCCGACUGUGCUGCCGCGGAGGCCUCACCACCCCCAUACUACUCCCACCGCUGGCCAGGCCAUCCCUCCACUCACCCACACCCCCUAUUAUUCUGCAACGACGGCAGCCUCACACCACAGCCGAACCAGUGAACCCUUGUACUCCUCUCCGCACGGGCUUCCACUGCUGCGUCUUCCCCGGCUCCGCGUCAUCCCCUUCCUAGGCCUCACCGUCGUCCACCGCCCUGGUGCUCUCGGCGCGGCGUGGUCAACAACCGACUUCCAUCGGAAGAGUACUGUAAAUGGAGAGGCUGACAGUUGGGUCCACGGCGGCCGCAAGGAAGUGCCUCCUUAUUACGCGCAAAAUAAUUAUUCCUCCACCUGACAGCGGGGACCCACCGGACGAGCCACCUUAUUUCGCGAAAAAACGCUUCCCCCCUGACUGCUGGGCCCAUCGGACGGGCCACCAUAUUUCGUGAAAAAAAACGUUCCCCCCGCUGUCAGCUCGGACCCACCGGAAGUGCCUCCCUAUUACACACAAAAAAUGAAUACUCCCCCUGCUAGUUGGGACCCACCUUGGUGGGAGGCUGACUUGUGGGUCUACUAAGUUGACGGGGACGGAGGGCUUUGUCAACUUAGUCAAUAUGAACGAUUCUACCUCCAGUGACCGUACGGUGUCCAUCCAACGGCCGUAGUGCUUCUUCAACCUCUGGUCUUCUUGCUCCAGCCGCCCAAACCAGCGCCGGUCGUGCUGCCUGCUCCUGCCUCCCGUGGUCGACUGUGCUACCGCGGAGGCCUCACCGCCCCCUACUAUUCCCACCGCUGGCGAGGCCGUGCGGCGACGACAGCCUUACACCGCAGCCGAACGAGUGAACCCUCAUACUCCUCUUCGCAUGAGCAUCCACUGCCGCGUCUUCACCGGCUCCGCGUCGUCCCCUUCCUAGGCCUCGCCGUCGUCCACCGCCCUGGUGCUCUCGGCGCGGCAUGGUCAACAUGGUCAAGGAAUGAUUUCCAUCGGACGUGGACUGUACAUGGAGAGGCUGACAGCUGGGUCCACGGCGGCAGCAAGGAAGUGCCUCCUUAUUACGCGGAAAAUAAUGAUUCCUCCACCUGACAGCAGGGACCCACCAGACAGGCCACCGUAUUUCACGAAAAAAACGUUUCCCCCUGAUUGCUGGGACCCACCAGCUACACCUUCGCACGCAAGGAAGUGCGUCCGGGCAAAAACAAAUGAUUCGCCCCCCUGACUGCUGGGACCCACCAGCUACAUCUCCGCACGCAAGGAAGUGUGUCCAGGCAAAAAAAACAAAACGAUUCACCCCCCCUGACUGCUGGGACCCACCAGCUACAUCUUCGCAGGCAAGGAAGUGCCUGACAGUCGGGACCCACCUGGUCGAAGCGUACGUAGCGUUGUCAUUCUGGUCGCGAACAUGUACGUACAUAUAUACUGGUCGAUGUAGAGGCACGCACGUGUCGUAGUAGAGGCGCAUACGUGUCGUAGUAGAGGCGCGCACGUAGCAUGUACACGUACGUACAGCGGCCAGGGUGCAAGAAAGAAAAUACGGCCACGUACGUACAUACAGGCAGGGUCUCGAACACCUACUCGCGCAUACGUACGGCGAGGGCUCAUGUACAUGGCUGGGUCGGAACAGAGAAACAGUGUCGUCGUCGUGUUCAUGGGGAGGCAACAGAAUGCGUCGUGUUCAUGGGGAGGCAAAGGAAUGCGUCGUGUUCAUGGAGAGGGGUGUGGCGUACCGCAAAAUGGAGGAAACGGACCUCCUAUGGUCGAAACAGGGGUCCUGUUGCUCAGGAGGAGUGUGGCGUACCGCAAAACGGAGGAAACGGACCUCCUACAGUCGAAACAGGGGUCAUGUUGAUCGGGAGGGGUGUGGCGNNNNNNNNNNNNNNNNNNNNNNNNNNNNNNNNNNNNNNNNNNNNNNNNNNNNNNNNNNNNNNNNNNNNNNNNNNNNNNNNNNNNNNNNNNNNNNNNNNNNNNNNNNNNNNNNNNNNNNNNNNNNNNNNNNNNNNNNNNNNNNNNNNNNNNNNNNNNNNNNNNNNNNNNNNNNNNNNNNNNNNNNNNNNNNNNNNNNNNNNNNNNNNNNNNNNNNNNNNNNNNNNNNNNNNNNNNNNNNNNNNNNNNNNNNNNNNNNNNNNNNNNNNNNNNNNNNNNNNNNNNNNNNNNNNNNNNNNNNNNNNNNNNNNNNNNNNNNNNNNNNNNNNNNNNNNNNNNNNNNNNNNNNNNNNNNNNNNNNNNNNNNNNNNNNNNNNNNNNNNNNNNNNNNNNNNNNNNNNNNNNNNNNNNNNNNNNNNNNNNNNNNNNNNNNNNNNNNNNNNNNNNNNNNNNNNNNNNNNNNNNNNNNNNNNNNNNNNNNNNNNNNNNNNNNNNNNNNNNUCAGUUAGCAGCAGUAGCGAAGGAAUCGCUCGGUCGGGUUCAGUUAACAGCCAUCGAUCGAUUGCUCGGGUUCAGUAACGCAUAGCCUGCAGUGCAAUCGCUCGAGUUCAGUUAGAGCGCAAUGCCUCGCUCGGGUUCAGUUAGAGCCAACGCCUCACACACACGCGCGUACGUGUACGAGAGAAACGCACAUCUCUCGGCCCCCGACCUCCCACCGUAACCGGGAACUCCCCAAAAUUUUCCUCCCCCUCGCUUCUACCAUGAUUUUUUCCAUCAUGGACGGCCCAAAGAAUGUCAUGCAGUUGCGUCUCCGGCCCGCCCAGGACGAAAAGCCCAUUUUUUGUCAUGAUUUUUUGUCAUAGAAGUAGGAGCCCACCACAUAUAUGAUGAUACCGGGUUUUGUCACAAUUAUCGUCAUAGAAGUGUCAUAUGUAUGACAGGAAAAAAAAUUUGUUCGGCCCAAAAUGUCACGGAUGUGUCCUUUUUUUGUAGUGCACUGUGGGUAGUCUUAGAUGGUGCGGACGAAUGAUGUCAUGUUGCGGGUGCUACGGAUCUGGGCUUCGGUGGAUGUGCGGUGGCAUGCAUGGAGAGCAUUUGUGUGUUUGGUGCAUGGCUACGAGCCGGAACUGUGGCGCUUCUUGGACUCUGUUAGUACUCCUCUUUGCCUUGUUGGCAUGUGAUAUGUCUACGAAUCAUAUAUAAGUUUUUACUUAUUUUUCAUGAUAUAUUUUGGCUUCAAUUUUUAUCACUUAUAUUUGGAUGAACCUAUUAAUUGUCAAAGGUCAAUUCCUCUUUUCUGAUGUUUUUGGCUUUUUAGGUUAAACAUUGAUGUAGCAAAAAAUGUGAAAAAAAUCUAGGAAUUCUUUUCAGGCCAAAAGACUCCCACAAGCCAGAGGAUGGGCUACGGGAAGCUACUAGACGACCGCAUGAUAGGGACUAGACGACCGCAUGGUAGGGGGUCCUUAAGUCAAUCGAGACUCUACUUUUACCACAAUAAAUCUACAAAAAUAACAAAAAAAAUCCCUUCAAAUUUUGACAUGUGGACAUGUUGUACAGAGAACAACACAAGGUUACAUGCAGAAUCUCGGUCGAAUAAUUUUCUAAGUGUUGGUGCAAUGCCUUACUAUCAGGUGCUACACCACACAGUGCAGCGCCUAAAGGUCAGGCGUUGCACUGUUAUUUUGGCUGCACUAUUGAAGACAACAUAUUUUUGGGAACAUUAAACGAAGCACAUAUUGAAAUAGACAACACAUAGCACAUUCCAAAUUAGAAUCACAACAUGAUAUUGGUUUAGAGCAUAGCACCAAGUCGAAAUACAAAUAAGGGAGUGCACAAUAUCUUGAGGAGCACAUGGCAAAGUUCAAAGAUCAUAGUCUACAUGACAACAAGGUCAUAGUCCACAACCAAAUCGAAGAUCAUAGUUUAGAAGAUAACAAGGUCAUAUUGCGCUGUUAUUGCGAGCAAGGCCCCUUUCCUUUCUUGUGGUUCUUCCUCCUCCCUUUUCCUUAUGAGAUGAGUCUCGCGAACCACCCUCUCCAUAAAUAUCUUAUUUUCCCUCUCUUUCUUUGCAUCCUCGAAAGCCCAAAGUUUCUUAAAUUUUUCUUCAAAAUCCUUUUGCCGUUGCGUAGCUACCUUCUCGCAUGCCAUCUUCAACUUGUCACUCCUCACAAGCUCCUCAAAUAUUCCUCUUUCUUUUUUCCUUCCUCUUCUCUUCUAACUCCUCUUCUUUCUUCCUCUCUAGUGCGGCUACAUCCUCCUCUCUUAACUUCCUCGCUGCCUUCUCCCACCACCCUGCUGUCUCACCUUCCCCAUCCUUCUCCUCCACCCCCUUGAUUGCUGGUUUGUUGGGUUGAGAAGCGGCCAAACCUACAAUGAGAGAAACAUAAUAGUUAGCAAUGGCAAGAAAAAGAUAUGAAAAAACAUGUAAAUUGCAACAUACCAGUGAAUAAGGACAACAACAACAUAUGGAAAAACAUGUAAAUUCAAAGAUUAUAGUUAGGGAGCCACAUACGGGAAUGGUCCAUCUAGGUAUCCAAACAUUCCUCUACGAUGCCCUUGGCCAAGACCACCGCCAAGGCCAAGACCACCACCAACACGGCCUACAACAUCACCACGGCGAAGACCACCACCAGCACGGCCUCUACCACCACCACGGCCUCUUGUCAGACCUAGUUGGCUCCCUCUUUGUUGCCUAGUUCCUCAUUGGCUUGGCCCUUAUUGGCUACCACUUGCUUGGUUUGGCCCUUGCUGGCUACCACUUGCCUUGUUUGGCCCUUGUUGUCUACCACUUACUUGGUUUGACCCUUGUUGACUACCACUUGCUUUGCUUACACCUGGUUGUGUGUUUCCUUAUUGGCUUGUGCUUGCAUCAUUUUUCAUUGACCUCUUUCUUGGCUUGGUACAUUUUCUUUUGUUGUGUCCCUGACCAUUUCAUUCCCCGCAACGGGAGCUCUCACGAGGCUCUUGGAAUUAGUCGUUGCCCGAUUAUUGGCUGCCACCAUGGCCCCAUCCGGCCAUGUCACCUCUAAGAUGCUUUGUCUUACGUCUUCCCCAUUUAACGACCAUCAUAUCUGGAUCAGGCCAUAGUUGAACUGCAUGGUACUCUAGCCAUUGUGAUUGGCAAAGUAUGGGUGAAAUCAGGGAGCCCAUGUAUUCUUUACCAUCAUGAUUAGAAUUGAUGCGGCUUGAAACUGCGUUGGUAUUUCUCCAAAGAGAAAGGGAUGAUGCAGUACAGCUACGGUAGGUAUUUCCCUCAGUUGUGAAACCAAGGUAUCAAUCCAGUUGGAGAACCAAAAAAACAUUAUGUAAACGGUACCUAGCUACACACAAAGAACUAAUACUUGCAACCCAACGCGCAAGAGGGGUUGUCAAUCCCUCCAUGGUAAAAAGAUAGAAAAAAUUGUAUGAGUUUUGAUAAAUAGAUCUGAAUAAAACACGGAAUAAAAUAAGUAAAAAAAAGUGCAGCAAGGUAUUUUUUGGGUUUUUGGAAUAAUAGAUCUGAAAACAAAUAUGGCAAAAGAUAAAUUGGAAAGCAAAUAUGAUAAAGAUAGACCCGGGGGUCAUAGAUUUCACUAGUGGCUUCUCUCGAGAAAAUAGCACACAGUGGGUAGACAAAUUACUGUUGGGCAAUUGAUAGAAGAACAAAUAAUUAUUAUGAUAUCCAAGGCGAUGAUCAUGAAUAUAGGCAUCACGUCCAAGAUAGUAGACCGAAACGAUUUUGCAUCUACUACUAUUACUCCACACAUCGACCGCUAUCCAGCAUGUAUCUAGUGUAUUAAGUUCAUGGAGAAAUGGAGUAAUGCAAUAAGAUUGAUGACAUGAUGUAGACAAGAUCUAUUCAUGUAGGAAUAUAUCCCAUCUUUUUAUCCUUAAUAGCAACGAUACAUGUGUGCCUCGCUACCCCUUCUGUCACUGGGUGAGGAUACCGCAAGAUCGAACCCAUCAUAAAGCACCUCUUCCCAUUGCAAGAAAAAUCAACCUAGUUGGCAUAACUAAACCAAAGAUUCAGAGAAGAAAUACGAGGCUAUAAAUAAUCAUGCAUAUAAUAGAUCAAAGAAGACUCAAAUAAUAUUCAUGAAUAUAGAUCUGAUCAUAAACUCGAACUUCAUCGGAUCCCAACAACCACAUCGCAAAAGUCAUUACAUCAAAUAGAUCUCCAAGAGACUAUUGUAUUGAGAAUCAAAAAGAGAGAACAAGCCAUCUAGCUACUACCUACAGAACCGUAGUUCUAUGGUGAACUACUCACGCAUCAUCAGAGAGGCACCAAUGAGGAUGAACCCCUCCGUGAUCGUGCUCCCCUCCGCGGUGUGCCGAAAUAGGGCUCUAGAUUGGAUCUCAUGGUUCUGGAGCGCCCUGAUGUCUCGUGGGCCCCACGGGCCUCCCCCCCAGGUGCUUCCUUGGCUCCCAAGUUGUCUUUUGGUCCAAAAAAUCUCCAAAAAGUUUCACUGCGUUUGGACUCCGUUUGGUACUGAUAUUCUGCGAAGUAAAAAACAAGAGAAAACAGCAACUGGCACUGGGCACCUAUGUCAAUAGGUUAGUCCCAAAAAAUGGUAUAAAGUUGCUAUAAAAUGAAUAUAAAACAUCCAAGAUUGAUAAUAUAACGGCAUGGAACAAUAAAAAAAUAUAGAUACAUUGGAGAUGUAUCAAGAACUCUGACUCCCUCACGGUGAGCGGAUGAUUGACGUCCACAUUCCUAACGUGAGUUUCAGUAUACAAGUGCGAGCAUGGGAGAUGAAGCAACGAUGGCCUCCCUCAAGAGCAAUCACACCGUGUUAGGGAGACCUUGCAAGCCUGGGCUCUGUGUUGGCGGGCAUCGUUUGUGGUUCCUCCUGGCUCUUUCACUUCGUACAACCAAUUGUCAUUGUUAUAUAAUAUAACCUUUUGUGAGUCUGUCUUCCGUGAUUGAAAUUUCAACCAUUCAUCAACUUUUGGUGGGAAAUUGUACUUGUACUUGUGCUUGUUCUCACCCGCAAUCUGCUUAUCCGUUUCCAUUGAGUACUUCAGAAAGUAUGCAUUCAACUUGUCGAAUGUGUACUGAACUAUUGUCGUCACGGGUAACGCACGUACACCCUUCAGCACCCUAUUGAAGCAUUCUGACAUGUUGCUUGUCAUUUGACCGUACCUCCGGCCAUCUUCAUCAAAAGCAUGUGCCCACUUAUUCCUUUCUUGAAUGUUCCUAUUGAGAAAGUCAAGACCCCUAGGAUCAAGUUUUUUGUGUGUGAGCAAUUGGUUGUACAAGUUGGCAAACCGCUUGUCGGAGAAAGCGAGACAACAAUCUUGAUGAUCAUCGGCCAACUCCUUGAUGAUCAUCGUCCACAAGCCCUAUAUAAGUUUGAACAAAAGUGGCUCAUGCACCAUCGAUGGUGCAAUGGAGAAUGCCCGGGAAUGUCAAUGUCCAUCACGUUAAGAAUUCCUGGAUGGCGAUCUGAUAUGACACAAAUGUCCCUUUCAGCCUACAAUACCAUGGUUCUCAAAAGAUGCAAUAACCACUCCCAGUUAUCAUUGUUCUCCACCUCAACCAAAGCAAAGGCCAAAGGCAACACCCGAUUAUUGGCAUCACUUGCUAUUGCAACCAAUAUAGUGCCCUUGUAUUGUCCGGUCAAGAUCGUGCCAUCAAUGGAGAUGACCGGUCGGCAGUGUUCAAAAGCACUCACACAUUGCUCGAACGCCCAAAAUGCACGCCCAAAUACUCGGACGGUCCUUCCGUUGCGAAUUGUUGUUUUUUGCACAUGAGGCUCAACCACAUGAACCAUGCCCGGGUAGGUGGUGGCCGGAGCUCCUAACAACCUAGGGAUUCAGUUGUAUGAUUCCUCCCAACCACCAUACAACAUCUUGAAUGCGGCUUGCGUCACUUUCCAUGCCUUGCCGUAUUUCACCUUGUAAUGAAAGAUGGCUUCCACAAGGUCCAUGACUUGUUAAAUGCUCAUGGUUGGAAGUGAGGAUAUUGAGUUGGAAAGCCUGUAAGCGAUGAACUCGGAUGUGAGUUGUCUGUGGUCUUGGGACACAACCUUGCCAUCCACCUUCUUGCCUCAGCGUAUGUGACUUGGUACACAACUCACUAUGUGCCAAGGGGGUCCUCCUUUCCAUGGUAUUGCAUGAACAAUCCAAGGACAUUAGGCCUCCUCACAUGCAACCGUGUAACGCACAUUGAUGUCCGAGUGAACCACCUUGUGUGGACGAUAAUGCGUAACCGAGUAGUCGUCGAGCCACAUCUUCAAUUCCGAGAAGGUUCCAAACUUAGACCUGAGAGCAAUAUCAUUCUUUCCGUGCUCCAAAUCCCAGUGAGAAGUUGGCCUAACUCCAAGAAAUAUACCUUUGUCGCCAUCUACCACGGCUUCAUCCGCGAGAGUAACAUCCUUGAACAAUGGUGUCCAAUGGUCCCAUCGAAUACCUUCUUGUAAGCUUCGGCCUCAUUCACGGUGAACCCCUCCUCAUCAACUUCUUCAUCGGGAUCUUCGUCAUCCGACUCCAAUGCAUAGCCACGAGAAUAAGGUCUGGAAGGGUCCAUUGUCUCUUGCACAUAACAUUUGCCGAGAUCACCCACAUGGUUGCCAUGGAGAUCAACUUCAUUGUCAUUGUCCUCAUACUCAACAUUCUCCUCUUGCAAAACUUCAUUCUGGUUGUUUGAAAUUGGGAUCAAUGUUGGCCUCACUUGUUGAGUCAAAAGGAGUUUCACUCAUUUCAUCUUGGUUCAUGGGUGGGGGACUACUAGCAACCAACAGGGAGGGGUUCCAGUUCAAAUCCAAAUGCAAACUAGACUCAACCUUCUUCACGGCAAAUAACUCAAGAAGCUUUGUCUAGUGAUUCGGCCACCGUCUCCUUGUAUGCAACCAAACGUUGCUCGGAGUUCACACACAUGGUCUUCCAACGGAUGUGCAUUCCAAAACCCACAUUCUGCCUUCCCUCAAACUCAACGAUAUCACUUGGGUCCAUCCAAUUCAAAUCUUUCCUCACUUGUUCCAAGACCUCCGCAUAGCUAGGACUACUCUCAAAUGCCAUGCCAAGCUCAUCCGGGUCCGGUUCAAUAUUGCCUUUCAAAAAGGUAUCUUUGUCUACAUGAUGAACAUACACACAUGUUCUUCCCAUCCCUAUAAUAAUUAAACAACAAAUCAUAACAUAUCUUCCAUAAGUACUCAUCCAAAAAUUAACACCGAAUACAAACCCUAACAUAGAUAUGAAACAAUAACCCUAACCCCCACUUAACAAUGACCAUAAGCACAGCCCUAACAUACUAACAACCCUAACCCUAGCCCCAACAUAACAACACCCAUAACCCUAACCCUAACAUACUAACAAGCCUAAUCCUAGCAAAUUGGCAAACAAACAUCUCAGAUCUCCAUACAAAUUUCAAGAUCCAUAAAAAACUAGGGUUUCCUCAAACUAGCAACAAAUGAGAAAAUGUGAGCAUUUUUUAGAUGAUGAAGGUCCCGGAGAAAAUCCACGGAGAUCACCUUGGGGGAGGGAUUGGGUUCGAAAUCCACGGAGAAAAUCUUCAGAUUUGGAAGAUUUUGAGAAGGAUUAGAGAGGGGAGAGAGGGGCUCGCGGGUGGGGGUGGGGUUGGUGGUUGGGGUGUGUGAGGUGAGUGGAGGAGGAGGGCCAACCUACCAACUACUAACACAAUAUGCAGCGCCUAAGAGCCAGGCACUGCACAUAACAUGUGGGGCGCCUAGCUCUUAAGCGCGGCACAUUGCAUAUGUGGUGCCUAGCUCGAAGGCGCUACACUGCUCGGUGCAGGGGCCGUGGGUGUCAUGCUGGCCAAACGUGCAAUGCUUGAGAGCUAGGUGUUGCACUGUAAGAUGUGACGCCUGCUGUCGGGUGUUGGACGAAAGGCUCAGCUGAGCGAUUUUUUUUCAAAGCAGUUUAGUCCGUGAAUUGAUUUCGUUCACAAGUUAAUUUUGUUGUUUUUGCACCCGCCGCGGCCGGCCGGAUACGUACGGGAUGCUGGGCAGUGGCAGUGGCAGUCGUCCGUGUACGCCUUCAUGGCGCGCAAGCACCACAAUCCACAACCACGAACGACCCAUGCUUUCUCGCAGUUGCCUGCUCUGCCCGAUGGCCUGCCAAAGGGCCUUUACUCAUCUGGCGUCUAGUGCCUUGUACGUGUCGAGCGUGCGUGAAGCCGAGCAUGCCUAGCGGAGAUCAUCAGGGCUACUUUUGCAUGCAAAGGCGUGGCUAGUUAGCUAAUGCUGCGUGCCUUCAAAAAAGUUAGCUAAUGCUGCAUGUUGUAGUAGUCGUGCCGACAUCCAUCGCACAUAGAGGGCAUUUCGUUUCACGGAUUUUUUUUAUGUUGAGACUAAAAAAAGUCUCUAGCAAAGCAAACAGGGUGAAUUUUUUUUAAAACUUUUUACUAAAAGUCUUUAGAAACACCUUCUUAAAAAUCUUUUUUGAAAAGUUUUAGAGAUUAGAAAAAGUCGUAGGAUUAGAAAACCAAACACUGUACAGACUGCAUGCAGGCAUACGAUCGUAGGCUGCGUAUAUUCGUACAGACUGCAUGCAGGAGUAAUGGACUGGACCGAGCGGCGCUUCCGAAGGUUGCAGCGUCGCGAUGCAGGUACGGCAACCCCACACUCGACACGUACAUUAAGUCCUCUGCCCGGUACAUUAAGCCCUCUAAAAUACAGUAAGUCCUUUGGAUCCAAGCACCCUCCAAAUAUUCUCAAAACACUUAGGCACGGUACAUUAACUCCUACUACAUCGUUUCUUGUUUCGUGACAUAUCAAUCAAUAAGAAAUGUGGGCCGUGCAUGCUUUCAGUGGCGGAUCAAGAAAUUGAACUUAGCCGGGGCGAAACAUUUAGGACUAAAAAAAAUUUAUGGACAAAUGCAAGCAUGCUGAACAAAUACUCAAAAAAUCGAAUAUGAAGCUAGAUGCACUCGAAAAAUGUUCGCAUCAGAGGCUUCAACGGACACUUGAUACAGUUGGUGGAGGAGUUCCAAAAUAUGCAGCAAUUAGUUUCAUUCUUUUGAAGACUCCCUACAUUACAACAUCAGAAGAAAUUAAUUGUUAAAUAUAUGGCGAAUUGGCAAUAUAAGCAGCAAUUGCCUUGAUCAAUUGUAACAUAUAUGGCCAUAUCAGCAGGCUUCAAAAGAUGUAAACCAAGCUCUUACAAAACACAUAUACUACGUACUGAUGCUUUUCCUCUAUGACCAUCAGUUCAAUAAUUGGUACUGAAUUGAAGGUCAUAUUCAGAAGAAAAUGGACUGUCUAUGACUCUAUGUUGGUGUGUACCUGCUGGCUGCGCUAGCUGAUUUUGCAAAUUGCAGCUGCCAGCCGUUUGCACGAGCUUGAUGCCGUGCCGGUGCCGGUGCCGCUGCCGCUGCUGCUUCCUCCCAUGCAGGGUGCUGAAUCUUUUGGUUUGCUCGGAUCUGGAUCAGGUGCCGGCGUCUGGCGGAGCUCUCUGGCGGCGAGUCAGCGACGGCUAGGUUACACAGUUGCCCUCGCUUCCUCACCUUGGGGAUUUUCUUCCUGCGAUUGCGAUUUGGGAUACAAAAAUCAAGGUGAAUGAGUGGCCGUGCUAGGCUGCUGGCGUUUGGGCUUUGUGCUAGCCCAUGUACAACGGAGCCGUUCUUUUUUUUAACAUCAGUACAGACGCAAGCGUUCAUACAUAGACGCAUACAUUCACCCAAUGCACACACGCACACCCUAUUUCUAUGAGCAUCUUUGAGAAACUGAGCCGGCAUGUCAUCUUGAAAUUUACGAAGUCAUCGUAGGCGCCUCGUGCGCCUUGUCGUCGACGGGAACGUCUCCUCCCACUGAAAGCGUGUUGCCGAAAAUUCUAAAAUAAAUUCAGGAAUAAUGCGAGCACCAGGACUUGAACCCUUGUGGGCUGGGAUACCACUAUCCCUCUGACCAUCCAACCAUAGGUUGGUUCGCUUUUAACGGAGCCGUUCUGUCACUCAUAUCUGUGUUAGCCCAUGUAUAAUGAAUCGUAUUUUUCUGUAUACGUUCUUCCGUCUACCCGGGGCGGCCGACCAUACUCGCCCCUAUCGUGGCGCCGCCACUGCAUGUUUUCAAUGACUUGAGACUACCAAACACGACAUGUGGUGGUUAGUUCGUUGCAUGCAAUGCUAUUAAUUAGCAAAAAAACACUGAGUUCUCUCGUUUUCCUUUCCGCCUUGGUUGCGAUGCACAACCUAAAAUGACUUAUACACCUAGACGGAGGAAGUAUUAUACUUCCUAAAGAAUCACCUAGCGAAAAUGUAUUCAUAUUAGAAUUGCAUCUAUAUAUACAUGUGGGGUUUCUUAUAAUUCUUUGAUUUUUUAAAUAUGAGUUUUCAUAUAUAUGUUAUUCAAAAUUCAUGGAGCGCGAGAUCCAAAACACCUAAAUCUUUGUUUGUAUCACUGGUGUCGAAUAAAUAACCAUGGAUGGUUAGCUUAAAUAUCUUUAAUAUAUGAUAACAAAAAAAUUACUAGGGGCAAGGUUGGCCUGAUUUCGCAAGACGGCUUGGGCAAAGCUUCCCUCCCCACAACCUCCGCUAGCGAGCUUGUGGAUUUUCAUCCUCUUCGUACCCGCUCCGGCGGCCGGUGAAGGUAAGGGAAAUUCCUGUGCCUUGGCUCCCACUAGUAGAUAGUUUAGGGUUUUAGUCCUCACAAUGGCGGCACUUCAUGUUUUGAUCGGUCUUUCGGGAUCCGAUCCUUGACGAGCUCAUUCGUCGAGAGGGAUUUGAUGGAGCUUUGACAUAGAUUUCUGUCGGCUCUUCUGGGCGGUGAGGUUAGGGUUUUUCGCAUGUGCACGCGACAUCAAGAUCUCGUGUUAGUUUCUUCAGAUCGAUUCAAGGGUUCAGUGACGAUGACUACGGCUUCAGGGUGCUGGUUCUUAGGGGAACAUGCAUGAAGACCUCCUGAUUGCCAUCGACCAGGUCUAGCAGACUCCGGCAUGGGAGCAGCGACGUAGGUGUGUCAGCAACUCGUUUUGUCAAUGACAGUGGUUGUUCGGUGGUCUAGGAAGCUUAAUGUAUUUUUUAUCAUAUGAUAGAGUAAAUUGCAGAAAACCACCACUUUGAGGGUUAGGUUUGCGAAAAACACUAUAAUACAUUUUUUUUACAGAAAACACUACGUCUUUAGUAAUCUUUUUGCAAAAACCACUGAUCGGCGGAUCUGGCUCUGUUAAGCGUGUUUAUGACAGAUGGGGCCCAUUUUCUGCUUACGUGGCGUAACUUUUUGUGCUUGGCGGGUUUUAAUCUAAAAUUACAAACUAGACCCUCAAAUUUUACACAGUCACCCCCUCCCCAAAAAAAAACGCAAUUGACCACCACUGGAGCAGAGCUCGUGCAAAUCAGCCUCAUCCCCCGCCCUCGACCUCGCGUUGACCAGGGCCCCAAUGCUCCUCCGUGGUGGAACUGCUCCUCCCCGACGAGGAUCUGGAUCGGGGGAUCCUCGUCGUCCUCCGUGGUGGGCGCCGUGGUCCCGGUCGCGGAACUUUGUGCCGGUGUCGGAGAGGCUGUCCCCUCUGCGUCACCGGAGUGAUCCCGCCCGCUCUGUUCGGCGGUGACGCGAACGCCCACGGCUGCUGCCCAACUCCGUCGACCAUGGCCAUCGGCGAGAAGGCGGUGUGGGGCUCGCGAACCAUGUCGCCGGCGCUGCCAACGCUAGGCUCUGGCGGUGACUCCUCGGGCUCGAUCAAAAUUGAGGACGACAGCAGCAGCUCAAUCCAGACCAAGGACGGCGGCGGCGGAGCGGAGGCGGGGCGGCCCAGAGCGGUGGCUAGACAGGGAAGUUGACAAGGGGUGGCAGUGGCGUGAUGCAGAUCGAUGCUCGCGGUUGGAGUGGCGGUGACUCGAUCUAAAGAUGGUCCGGGGCCGGCGAAGAUGGGGGAUAGGGGAAGGGCGGACAUUGUAGCCCCAGACGCUCACCACGUCGAGCUGUGGGGACGGUGGGGGCACGACGACAGCGGCCCGGGAUGCAGGGGCGGCAUUGAGCUCGUGUGCACGCUUGCCGGCUGCGGAGGGAGAGAGGUUGGGAGCGAGGGGAAGGUCUGUGGCGUGAUUGGAGGGCCUAGGAAGCAGGGGAGAAAAUUGGGGGGCUUUUUUGCAUUAAACCUAAACCGCUAUGCCACGUAAGCAGAAAAUAGUCCCUAUCUGUCAUAAACACGCUUAACAGAGCCAGAUCUGCCGAUCAGUGGUUUUUGCAAAAAGAUUACUAAAGACGUGGUGUUUUCUGCAAAAAAAAUGUAUUGUACUCCCUCCAUUCCACAAUGUAGUGCCUAUAGAUUUUUGUGAAAGUCAAACUUUGCCAACUUUGACCAAGUGUAUAGAGAAAAUUGUCUAUAUCUACAAUACCAAACAUGUACAUUCUGAAAAUAUAACUCACGAUGUAUCCAAUGAUGUACAUUUGGUAUUCUAGAUGUACCUAUUUUUCUGAAUAAACGUGGUCAAAGUUUGUAAUUUUUGACUUUUGUAAAAAUUUAUAAGCACUACAUUAUGGAACGGAGGGAGUAGUGUUUUUCGCAAACAUAGUCUUCAAAGUGAUGGUUUCAUGCAAUUUACUCUCAUAUGAUACUUUNNNNNNNNNNNNNNNNNNNNNNNNNNNNNNNNNNNNNNNNNNNNNNNNNNNNNNNNNNNNNNNNNNNNNNNNNNNNNNNNNNNNNNNNNNNNNNNNNNNNNNNNNNNNNNNNNNNNNNNNNNNNNNNNNNNNNNNNNNNNNNNNNNNNNNNNNNNNNNNNNNNNNNNNNNNNNNNNNNNNNNNNNNNNNNNNNNNNNNNNNNNNNNNNNNNNNNNNNNNNNNNNNNNNNNNNNNNNNNNNNNNNNNNNNNNNNNNNNNNNNNNNNNNNNNNNNNNNNNNNNNNNNNUAUAAAAGUCCAUGCCUGUGGCGGAUCCAUGUUGAAUUUUGGAUGCUCAAGAAACAAUUCGGGUAUAGCUGGUAGUGGUACUAUGUUUUCAUUAAGGAGAUAAUCACAUUCACAUUAACACAAAUGAAAGCAUACUUUUGCCCCAAGAUUCUCAGCCAGCCCCCGGACGCCAAUGAAAGCAUUGGAAGGACGGAAGGUUCGAACCACAGAUGGAAGAUUGGGUUAGUGUUGGAGGUAAUUUAACUCGUGGUCGAAAUCAGUAGGUCUGUAGGCGGUGGGUGGGUGUAACUGAUGGAUGAAGGCGACCGGGCGCAGGGAGGCGAUAACCAUCAAAAAAUAGCAGCAACAGCAAAAGUCGACGGGAGACGACAGAAGGAGAGGCGUAUGGGUCGGGAUGCUUCACUGCAGGGGGGGUGCAGUGCAAGGCUGCAUGCUUUGGACUUGGCUGAGAUCGUGAGCUCUCUCGCCUGUCACCUCAGCCACUUGUCCACCACCGUGCUUGCUCACCCGGCCGGACAAGGACAAUGCUCCAACCUCGAUGUCUCGGCCCAUGGAAAAUGCAAGUGUGUUUUUGUCUGUCUAUAUUACCUAUCUUUUUAGCCCGGUAUUGAGAUAAAAUGUGUGUAAUUUAUGCGCAUAUACCUCAGCAAAUCAGAACCAGCGUAUUCAUCUUCGUACAAACUGUGGAGCAGCCGAGCAGCGGCAUUCAUCUAAGGAAUAAUGUUCAGUAGCUCCAGGGAUUACACAACGGGUGCCAAUCAACUUGAUGCCGAUCUUUGGAUGGCAACAAGUUACGUUAUUUCAAAGCUGUUAAUAAAGGGUAUACACAAAGACUUUGGGUUUUCCAAAUCCUCUUCAUACCGCCAUCUCUCUUUCCAAGAUCUUCACUGUCACUCACCUAAUAAUUAUAUUAUUAUUUUUUGCUAGAAGGAUCGGUACCAAAGUACUCCCUCUGUAAACUAAUAUAAGAGCGUUUAAAUCACUACUUUAGUAUUCUUUUUUUUUUUGGAAAAGAGGGACUCCCCGGCCUCUGCAUAAGGAGUGAUGCAUACAGCCAUCUUAUUAAUGAAGCAACAAAAAGUGCGUACAAAGUUCCAUAGUCUCUAACUGAAAACAAUAAAAAGCAGCCCACACAGAGCGCAUAAGGCUAGAAAACACUAACUAGCCAAUAAAGGAGCCACAACCGGCUGGCUAUAGAGAUAGGGAAACUAAUUGCCUAUCCUAUUACAUGACCGCCAUCCAAACCGGUUGAAGAUAUCCCGAGCAACCAUCUCCCACCGGGUAGACCCAGUAACCAAAUGCUCCCUGGCCUCCAUCGGAGUGAGUAAUGACCAUGAACGGAUCAGCGCCGUAGCUCGGAAGAUAACCUGCAAAAAAUGAAUUCGUGAUGAUCUGUUAAAAACCAAAUCAUUUCUGCACAGCCAGAUGGUCCACAUUAAAGCGCGACUCCAACCCGAAUAUGUCUUGCUAUUGUAGAGUCAAUCCCAUAUAGCCAAUUCCCAAAUAAAGCAUUAACAGUAUUCGGUGGAGUUAUAUUAAAAGCAAUGUGGACCGUCUGCCAAAAAACCUUGGCCAGCGGGCAAUCAAAAAAGAGAUGUUUAAUUGUCUCAUCUCGAUCACAGAAACUACACCUAGUAGGUCCUGUCCAAUUACGCUUUAUUAAGUUGUCCUUUGUUAGAAUAACUUGUUUAUGAACAAACCACAUAAACACUUUUAUUUUCAAAGGUACUUUGACAUCCCAGACACUCUUGGAAGUUGGAAUGGAGCUUGUAUUAAUAACAUCAGUAUACAUAGACCUGACUGUAAAUACUCCAGACGUAGUCAACUUCCAGCGUAAUUUAUCCGGUUGGUCAGAAAGUUGAACCUCCAUUAGUCUCCUAACUAACUGGAGCCAAACCUCCCAACGAUUGCCCGCUAAUGACCGUCUAAACUGAAUAUUAAGGGGGAUAGAUUGAAAUACCGUUGCCACGAGCACCUCACGUCGUUGAGCAAUAAGAUAAAAAGACGGAUACUGAAUGGCCAGGGGUGAGUCGCCCAGCCAAGCGUCCUCCCAGAAACGUGUAGUGGCCCCAUUGCCAAUGACAACUUUUGUCCUAUUGAACAUUAAUUGCUUGACUUUCAUGAGCCCUUUCCAGAAAGGCGAAUCCAUCGGCCUAACUGUUACCUGGGACAAAGUCCUAGUCUGGAGAUACUUGCUGCGAAUGAUUUGCGCCCACAUAGCUUUCGAACCGCUAGCGAGCUUCCACAACCACUUACUAAGAAGGCAUCUGUUCUUAACCUCAAGAUUCUCAAUGCCAAGCCCGCCUUGGUCUUUGGGUCGACAGAUGAUAUCCCACUUAGCAAGCCGGUAUUUUCUUUUAAGCUCAUCACCCUGCCAAAAGAAGCGUGAUCCAUAGAAGUCCAGUCUUUUCCUCACUCCCACUGGAACCUCAAAGAACGAUAAGAGGAACAUAGGCAUACUCGUGAGUACCGAGUUUAUCAAAACUAACCGGCCUCCAUAUGACAUGAGCUUACCCUUCCAGUAGCUCAGUUUCUUUUCAAAUCGAUCCUCGAUACACUUCCACUCUCUGUUUGUUAGCCUACGAUGAUGAAUCGGAAUGCCAAGGUAGGAGAAGGGCAGACUUCCCAACUCGCACCCAAACAGUUGCCUAUAGGAGUCCUGUUCGUCUUUAGCCCUACCAAAGCAGAACAAUUCGCUCUUAUGAAAAUUAAUCUUUAACCCCGAUAAUUGUUCAAAGAGGCAUAACAACAACUUCAUAUUUCUCGCCUUGGCCAAAUCAUGCUCCAUGAAGAUGAUUGUAUCAUCAGCGUAUUGAAGAAUGGAUACACCUCCAUCCACCAGAUGAGGUACUAAACCACCCACUUGACCAUGGUCCUUAGCCCUUCCGAUCAAUAUUGCUAACAUAUCCACCGCGAUGUUAAACAAAACGGAGGGACAUUGGAUCGCCUUGCCUGAGGCCCUUAUGAGUCUGGAAGUAAUGACCGAAAUCGUCAUUGACUUUAAUACCCACACUCCCUUUUUGCGUAAAAGAUUCAACCUGAUGGCGCCAAGCCUCAUCAAAACCUUUCAUACGCAAUGCCUGUUGAAGGAACGACCACUUGACCUUAUCAUACGCCUUCUCAAAAUCCACCUUAAAAAUUACCCCAUCUAAUUUUUUAGAGUGAAUUUCAUGGAGCGUUUCAUGAAGGACAGCUACUCCUUCGAGGAUGUUUCUGUCCGGCAUGAAAGCAGUUUGGGAUUGAUGUACCACAGAAAGCGCAAUCUGUGAGAGCCUGUUUGUCCCGACCUUGGUGGAGAUUUUGAAACUAACAUUGAGAAGGCAAAUUGGCCUGAAUUGCUCAAUUCGCACAGCCUCCGUUUUCUUAGGAAGCAAUGUGAUAGUUCCAAAAUUCAACUGAAAUAAUUGAAGCUGUCCAGAGAAAAGAUCGUGAAACAUAGGUAACAGAUCCCCCUUAAUAAUCUGCCAACACCUUUUAUAAAACUCCGCCGGAAACCCAUCCGGACCGGGAGCCUUGUUGUUUUCCAUUUGUGCAAUCGCAUCAAACACUUCCUUCUCCGUAAAUGGGGUAUUCUAAAUGCUCUUAUAUUAGUUUACGGAGGGAGUAUGAAGCAUCGAAACAUAAUAUAAAUUACAUUGAGGUUCCGGACGACCACAACUGUCGGCCAAACGAGCCACCGACAUGCUAUUGUCGCCGCUUCCCUACCAGAGACCUUGUCGAUGACAGCCGAGAAGUCUUCGUGCAUGUGACCCUAACGACCAAAGCCUUGGAGCCAUAGUCAUCGCCAUUGAACCAUUGCAUAGAUUUGAAGCAGCUGACAUCAAAUCUCGCCACAUGACGAGAACCCCUACCUCGCCGUCCCAAAGAGACGGCAUGAAUCUACAUCAGAGCUCCGUCGACACGUCCAGACAGAUGAACUCAAGAAGGAUUAGAGUCCAGAAGACAAACUCGAAGAAGAAGUGUCGCCAUCCGCCCGAGCGCCGCACCUUCAAGAACUAAAAAACCUAACAUAAACUACUAAACGGACUGAAGGCAUUGGGCCUCCCCACCACCGGCCGCCGGAGAGGCAUGCAGAGGGGAGGCGAAUCCACGGGCUCACGGGUGAAGCCUGGAGGGGAUAGUUUGCCCUAGCCGUCUAGGGUUGGGGAAGGAAAACGAGAGAAAGUCGACGCUGAUUGUAUUUCUCCCCUCACUUGAUAAUUAGUUAAUUCAGUUAGUUGACCUAUCUGCACUCUAUUAAGUCGUCGAGUCCAAUACCAUUGUGGUAUUUAUCACAAGAAAAUGAGCUUCUUGCAUAAACAAAUAAAUAAGAUUCCAAUUUUUUUGAGAAAUAAAUAAGCUUCAGUGUUACAUGCCGGUAAUAAAUAGUAGCAUUUGCCUAACAUUCCUCGUGUUUUGGCUACUCAUUUUCAUUAUACUUGUUGUGUCCCGAGCAGAAGCUUUUGUAACUUAGUUCAUCACUUAGAAAAACUGACGAUCACACACAAGGAAAAGGGCGGCCGUAUAUGAAUACUUAUUACUUCCUUUGUCUCAAAAUAAGUCUUUAUACUAAAGUUAGUAUAAAGUUGAGACAUUAAUUUUGAAACAGAUGUGUACUAAGUUUGUACUAUAGAUAGUAUAAAGUUGAGAUACUUAUUUUGGGACGGGGAUAGUACUAAAUAAGAGACACAUGUAUUUUUGUGACAUAUUUGAAAAUGCAUCUAUUUCCCUAGUGUGUUUUCAUGGUAAAUGCCAACCUGAUUGGAUGGACCGUUGUUUGUUCAAGCAUAUUUGAGAUUAGUCCCUCAAGGUUGCAACUAAGAAGACUCUAGAUGACCCCUACUUCAAGGGCAGACGCCGGGCGCUUUCCGCCCUGUCUCCCUCCAGAAUGGGGACAUGAAAAUCCUCUGCCGUGGCCUCACCUCGAGGUUACAAAAGCAGAUCGGGGCCAUCAUUGACGUCGACCAGUCUGGGUUCCUGGCGGGAAGGAGCAUCUCCGAGAACUUCGUCUAUGCUGCCGAAGUGAUCCAGAGCUGCCACAAACGAGGGGCGCCUGCCCUCGUGUUCAAGCUGGACUUCGCCAAGGCGUUCGACUCGGUCGACUGGGGGGCGCUACGCCGGAUCCUCAUGGCGCGCGGCUUCCCCGAGCGGUGGUGCACCUGGAUGGACCUGAUCUUCGAGUCCUCACGGUCAGCGGUGCUGCUGAACGGCGUGCCCGGGAAGUGGUUCACGGUGCGCCGGGGGCUGCGGCAAGGCGACCCAUGCUCACCCUACCUCUUCCUCAUCGUCGCCGAUGUGCUGCAGUAGAUGAUCAGGCAAGAUAGGGGGUUGUUCCACCCUCUUGUUGAUGGCGAGCCCCCCCUGGUGCUGCAAUAUGCCGAUGACAUGCUUGUCAUCCUUCGCGCGGACUCCGGCGCCGCUGCCCGCCUCCGCCGUAUCCUCGACGACUUUGCGGCGGCGACGGGGCUGGACAUCAACUUCGUCAAAAGUACUCUAGUCCCCAUGCACGUUCCCGAGGAGGUAUUGGUGGAGACCGUUGGCGCUCUCGGCUGCGCCGUGCAAGGGUUCCCGCAAGCCUACCUUGGGCUUCCAUUGUCGUGGGAGAAGCUCUGCUUCGCAGACUUCCUGCCCAUGAUUGCGAAGGUGGACAAGUAUCUGGCUGGAUGGAGAGCUCGUCUUCUCUCCCCAGCUAGGCGUUUGGUCUUGAUCAACGCUGUUCUUGACGCCCUCCCCACUUAUGCCAUGGCGGCGAUGAUGCUCCCGCCUGCGGUGAUCAAGGAGCUCGACUCGCUCCGUCGGGCCUUCCUCUGGAAUGCGGCCGAACGCGCCUCUGGAGCGCAAUGCCUUGUGGCUUGGGAGCGUGUCUGCAGAACCAAGGCGGAGGGUGGACUGGGCGUCCGAGACCUAGCCACGCAGAAUCGCUGUCUGCUGCUCAAGAUGCUGCACCGGCUCCACACAGCCUCCUCGUCCUCGAGAAGGGCGCUGUGGGUGCGGGCGGAGCUCGACGGCCGCUCCCUUCUCUCGGCAACGGCCGGCAGGAACAUGGGGAGCACAGCAAGGCGCUGGGGGGAUGCUUCCGUUGUACCGCGGGAUCACUAGGGGGACGGUGCGCGAGGGGAGGCGGACGCCUUUCUGGCUCGACUCCUGGCUCCCGUGUGGGCCUCUCAUGGUGGCUCUUCCGGUGUUGUACUCACACACGACGCUGAAGGAGGCCACGGUGUGGCAGGUACGUGCGCGCGGCCUGGACAGUGUGCUGGUGCCCAGGCUUACCACUGCCGGCACCGUGGAGCGGGCUACCCUUCUGACCCUACUCGGCGACAAUGCUAUGGAGCCCGGCGACGACGAGCGCACAUCGAUGUUGUGCUCAGGCGCGCAUGGGGGCCUCGUGACGGCGGCCGUCUAUGCCCUGGAGAGGUUCGGCGGCGUGCAGGCGUCGUUCGCUGCAUUCCUCUGGGGGUGCGCUGCUCCCUCCCGCGUUCGCUUCUUCGGGUGGCUCCUGGUCCAACGACGGAUCAACACAAGAGACGUCUUGCUGCGCAAAACCAUCGUCACGACGGAGGGGGUUGUCUGCCCUGUCUGUUCGUGCGAGCUGGAGACGGCGGAUCACAUGGUGUUUGAGUGUCCUUUCGCCCGUUCGUUCUGGCGGGCUGUGGGAGUCGACGUGGUCGACAAAGGCUACCAGGUGGGCGCGCUCCAGGCUCUUGAUGUCCGGGGGGUGGUCGGAGAUAUUGCCUGCGCUACCUUCGUUCUUCUGUGCUGCUGGCAGAUAUGGAAGCACAGGAAUGCCGUGGUCUUCCGGGGGGCGGCGCCCUUCCUCGCGCGUCUCCUCGCUUGCUGCAGAGAAGACUCGGCCAUGUGGCGAGGACGCCUGAAAGUAGCUGAAAGGUCGUGCGUCGACACAUGGUUGCAGGUGUUCUCGUAUCCUGGGAGGUAGCCUGUGCUGCAUUGUUGAUGGUGUGAUCCCCCCCCCCUCUCUCUCUCUCUUUUUCCCUCCCAUGUAAAACUUCCUGUCUCCCCCCGGGGGUGUGAAUCAAUAGAAAAAGAAAAUUCAGGUGGAGGGCUCUUGCCCUCCCCCGGUGACCUUCAAAAAAAAGAUCGCACUAAGUGUAUAACUACGCCGAAACUAUCAAAGUGGAUCAGGUAACUGAGGCGAUGAGCUGCUUCCUACGUUCUUCAAGAUUAACCUAAAAAAAUAUCCGAACACGGAACACCUCAACCAUUUCUGUGCUAUCUUCUAUCCUCUUUCCACUGUUCAGAGCCACCAAGCCAAAUCCAAUUGGAUCCUCUGACCAUUCAGAGAGACGGUCAUUGCAAAUCCAUUCAGAGCCUACAACACAACUCCACUUUGAGCAACUGGAGCACUUGUGCAAGCCUCUGUACCAGAGCACAUGAACGAGCCUAGUAUCAUGUGCCGCUUAGAGCCUUCACAUGACUCAGGUCAGACCUUCCAAGCUAUAUGCCAGUUGAUCCUCGAAAGUUCAAUCAAAACCUCCAGGCUAAUCGUUUGGUGUCUCUCACUUGCGCUCAAAAGUGUGUGAUAGUCAGAUUUCGAGGUCCAACCAAUAUAUACCCCAACCAAACUCACUAAUUCGGUCAAGAGAGCUUCAUUUCAAAAACAUUAAUAAGGGAGAACUCCUCAGUCACGUGCUAAGUACAAAGGGCCUUCCACUAUAACAUCCAUGCCAAAAAUGUGAUUCUCUCAUCUUCUCCUUCGUUUCAAGUUAAUCUUCCAACACCCAAACUUCUCCACAUCCAAUGAUCCAUUAUACGAGAGUUUGAGUGUGGGGUGGUUAUCUUUGGAUGCACAAGAAGAAAAUUCAUCACCAAGCAACACCAAUCUUAUUACUUUGAAUGGUGUACUCCUCCUAGAUCGUCUAGGUAUGUUUGAGAGUCCUCAAAGUGCGAAGGAACCAAGAAGUUUGUGAGGGCUUAGAGACUGUCUACUUCUUUAAGAUCUACACCGAGUGAGGCUUUGCCUUUGCGGUUGAAGCCAUGGUGUAACAGGUUGGUAAACGCUUUUUCGACACUACCAAGAAUUUAAACUUUAUGUUAUUAAUGUUGGGGAACGUUGCAGAAAACAAAAAUUUUCCUACUCGUUUCACCAAGAUCAUCUAGGAGUUCAUCUAGCAACGAGUGAUUAGAUGCAUCUACAUACCUUUGUAGAUCGCGAGCAGGAGCGUUCAAAAGAACGGUGAUGAUGUAGUCGUACUCGACGUGAUUCAAAUCACCGAUGACCAGCACCGAACGGACGGCACCUCCGCGUUCAACACACGUACGGGACGGGAGACGUCUCCUCCUUCUUGAUCCAGCAAGGGGGGAGGAGAGGUUGAUGAAGAUCCAGCAGCACGACGGCGUGGUGGUGGAUGCAGGGCGUCACAGCAGCAGGGCUUCGCCGAGACUACGAGGGAGAGACGUAACGGGGGGGUGGAGGCGCCAGGGGCUGGUGUAUUAGGUCCCUCCUCUCCCCACUAUAUAUAGGGGUGCCAAGGGGGGGUGGUGCGCAGCCUAGGAGAUCCAAUCUCCUAUGGCCGGCGGCCAAGGGGAGGUUUCCCUCCCCCCCAAGGCACCUAGGGGUGCCUUCCACCACUAGGACUCCUCCUAGGGGGAAACCCUAGGCGCAUGGGCCUAUAGGGGCUGGUGCCCUUGGCCCAUGAAGGCCAAGGCGCACCCCCUACAGCCCAUGUGGCCCCCCGGGACAGGUGGCCCCACCCGGUGGACCCCCGGGACCCCUCCGGUGGUCCCGGUACAAUACCGAUAACCCCGAAACUUGUCCCGAUGCCCGAAAUAGCACUUUCUAUAUAUAAUUCUUUACCUCCGGACCAUUCCGGAACUCCUCGUGACGUCCGGGAUCUCAUCCGGGACUCCGAACAACAUUCGGGUUUCUGCAUAUACAUAUCUUCAUAACCCUAGCGUCACCGAACCUUAAGUGUGUAGACCCUACGGGUUCGGGAGACAAGCAGACAUGACCGAGACGACUCUCCGGUCAAUAACCAGCGGGAUCUGGAUACCCAUGUUGGCUCCCACAUGCUCCACGAUGAUCUCAUCGGAUGAACCACGAUGUCGAGGAUUUAAUCAAUCCCGUACGCUAUUCCCUUUGUCUAUCGAUAUGUUACUUGCCCGAGAUUCGAUCGUCGGUAUCCCAAUACCUCGUUCAAUCUCGUUACCGGCAAGUCACUUUACUCGUACCGUAAUGCAUGAUCCCGUGACCAGACACUUGGUCACUCUGAGCUCAUUAUGAUGAUGCAUUACCGAGUGGGCCCAGUGAUACCUCUCCGUCAUACGGAGUGACAAAUCCCAGUCUUGAUCCAUGUCACCCAACAGACACUUUCGGAGAUACCCGUAGUCUACCUUUAUAGUCACCCAGUUACGUUGUGACGUUUGGCAUAAUCAAAGCACUCCUACGGUAUCCGGGAGUUACACGAUCUCAUGGUCUAAGGAAAAGAUACUUGACAUUGGAAAACUCUAGCAAAUGAACUAUACGAUCUUGUGCUAUGUUUAGGAUUGGGUCUUGUCCAUCACAUCAUUCUCCUAAUGAUGUGAUCUCGUUAUCAAUGACAUCCAGUGUCCAUAGUCAGGAAACCAUGACUAUCUGUUGAUCAACGAGCUAGUCAACUAGAGGCUCACUAGGGACAUGUUGAUGUCUGUUAUUCACACAUGUAUUACGAUUUCCGGAUAACACAAUUAUAGCAUGAAUAAAGACAAUUAUCAUGAACAAGGAAAUAUAAUAAUAAUGCUUUUAUUAUUGCCUCUAGGGCAUAUUUCCAACAGUCUCCCACUUGCACUAGAGUCAAUAAUCUAGUUACAUUGUGAUGAAUCGAACACCCAUGGAAUUCUGGUGUUGAUCAUGUUUUGCUCUAGGAAGAGGUUUAGUCAACGGAUCUGCUACAUUCAGGUCCGUAUGUACUUUACAAAUCUCUAUGUCUCCAUCUUGAACAUUUUCACGAAUGGAGUUGAAGCGACGCUUGAUGUGCCUUGUCUUCUUGUGAAACCUGGGCUCCUUGGCAAGUGCAAUAGCUCCAGUGUUGUCACAGAAGAGCUUGAUUGGCCCCGACGCAUUGGGUAUGACUCCUAGGUCGGUGAUGAACUCCUUCACCCAUAUUGCUUCAUGUGCUGCCUCCGAGGCUGCCAUGUACUCCGCUUCACAUGUAGAUCCCGCCACGACGCUUUGCUUGCAACUGCACCAGCUUACUGCCCCACCAUUCAAAAUAUACACGUAUCCGGUUUGUGACUUAGAGUCAUCCAGAUCUGUGUCGAAACUAGCGUCGACGUAACCCUUUACGACGAGCUCUUCGUCACCUCCAUAAACGAGAAACAUUUCCUUAGUCCUUUUCAGGUACUUCAGGAUAUUCUUGACCGCUGUCCAGUGUUCCUUGCCGGGAUUACUUUGGUACCUUCCUACCAAACUUACGGCAAGGUUUACAUCAGGUCUGGUACACAGCAUCGCAUACAUAAUAGAACCUAUGGCUGAGGCAUAGGGGAUGACGCUCAUCUCUUCUAUAUCUUCUGCCGUGGUCGGACAUUGAGCUGAGCUCAAUUUCAUACCUUGCAACACAGGCAAGAACCCCUUCUUGGAUUGAUCCAUAUUGAACUUCUUCAAUAUCUUAUCAAGGUAUGUGCUUUGUGAAAGACCUAUGAGGCGUCUCGAUCUAUCUCUAUAGAUUUUGAUGCCUAAUAUAUAAGCAGCUUCUCCAAGGUCCUUCAUUGAAAAACUUUUAUUCAAGUAGGCCUUGAUGAUGUCCAAGAGUUCUAUAUCAUUUCCCAUCAACAGUAUGUCAUCUACAUAUAAUAUGAGAAAUGCUACAGAGCUCCCACUCACUUUCUUGUAAACGCAGGCUUCUCCAUAAGUCUGUGUAAACCCAAACGCUUUGAUCAUCUCAUCAAAGCGAAUGUUCCAACUCCGAGAUGCUUGCACCAGCCCAUAAAUCGAGCGUUGGAGCUUGCACACUUUGUCAGCAUUCUUAGGAUCGACAAAACCUUCCGGCUGCAUCAUAUACAAUUCUUCCUUAAGGAAACCAUUAAGGAAUUCCAUUUUGACGUCCAUUUGCCAUAUUUCGUAAUCAUAGAAUGCGGCAAUUGCUAACAUGAUUCAGACGGACUUCAGCUUCGCUACCGGUGAGAAAGUCUCAUCGUAGUCAACCCCUUGAACUUUUCGAUAACCCUUAGCGACAAGCCGAGCUUUAUAGAUGGUCACAUUACCAUCCGCGUCUGUCUUCCUCUUAAAGAUCCAUUUAUUUUCUAUGGCUCGCCGCUCAAUGGGCAAGUCAGUCAAAGUCCAUACUUUGUUUUCAUACAUGGAUCCUAUCUCGGAUUUCAUGGCUUCUAGCCAUUUGUCGGAAUCCGGGCCCGCCAUCGCUUCUUCAUAGUUCGAAGGUUCACCGUUGUCUAACAGCAUGAUUUCCAAGACAGGGUUGCCGUACCACUCUGGUGCGGAACGUGUCCUUGUGGACCUUCGAAUUUCAGUAGGGGCUUGAUCAGAAGUAUCUUGAUCAUUGUCAUUAAUUUCCUCUCCAGUCGGUGUAGGCACCUCAGGAACAUUUUCUUGAGUUGCGCCAUUUUCCGGCUCAAGAGGUAAUACUUCAUCAAGCUCUACUUUCCUCCCACUUACUUCUUUCGAGAGAAACUCUUUCUCCAGAAAGGACCCAUUCUUGGCAACAAUGAUCUUGCCUUCGGAUAUGAGGUAGAAGGUGUACCCAAUAGUUUCUUUUGGGUAUCCUAUGAAGACGCAUUUUUCCGACUUGGGUUCGAGCUUUUCAGGUUGAAGUUUCUUGACAUAAGCAUCGCAUCCCCAAACUUUUAGAAACGACAGCUUAGGUUUCUUCCCAAACCAUAAUUCAUACGGUGUCGUCUCAACGGAUUUCGACGGAGCCCUAUUUAAAGUGAAUGCGGCAGUCUCUAAAGCAUAGCCCCAAAAAGAAAGCGGUAAAUCGGUAAGAGACAUCAUAGAUCGCACCAUAUCUAACAGAGUGUGAUUACGACGUUCGGACACACCAUUACGCUGAGGUGUUCCAGGCGGCGUGAGUUGUGAAACUAUUCCACAUUUUCUUAAGUGUGCCCCAAACUCGUGACUCAAGUAUUCUCCUCCAUGAUCUGAUCGUAGAAACUUGAUUUUCCUGUCACGUUGAUUUUCAACCUCACUCUGAAAUUCCUUGAACUUUUCAAAGGUUUCAGACUUGUGUUUCAUUAAGUAGAUAUACCCAUACCUACUUAAAUCAUCAGUGAGGGUGAGAACAUAACGAUAGCCACCGCGAGCCUCAACACUCAUCGGACCGCACACAUCAGUAUGUAUGAUUUCCAAUAAGUCGGUUGCUCGCUCCAUUGUUCCUGAGAACGGAGUCUUGGUCAUUUUACCCAUAAGGCAUGGUUCGCACGUGUCAAAUGAUACAUAAUCAAGAGACUCUAAAAGUCCAUCAGCAUGGAGCUUCUUCAUGCGUUUGACACCUAUGUGACCAAGGCGGCAGUGCCACAAGUAUGUGGGACUAUCAUUAUCAACCUUACUUCUUUUGGUACUCACAUUAUGAACAUGUGUAGCAUCACGUUCGAGAUUCAUAAAGAAUAAACCAUUCACCAUAGGAGCAUGACCAUAAAACAUAUCUCUCAAAAAAAUGGAACAACCAUUAUUCUCAGAUUUAAAAGAGUAGCCAUCUCGAAUUAAACGAGAUCCCGAUACAAUGUUCAUGCUCAAAGCUGGCACUAAAUAACAAUUAUUAAGGUUUAAAACUAAUCCCGAAGGGAGAUGCAGAGGUAGCGUGCCGACGGCGAUCACAUUGACCUUGGAACCAUUCCCAACGUGCAUCGUCACCUCAUCCUUUGCCAGUUUCCGUUUAUUCCGCAGCCCCUGCUUUGAGUUACAAAUGUGAGCAACUGCACCGGUAUCAAAUACCCAGGAGCCACUACGGGCACUAGUAAGGUACACAUGUAUAUCACAUAUACCUUUGGUUUUGCCGGCCUUCUUAUCCGCUAAGUACUUAGGGCAGUUCCGCUUCCAGUGACCGCUUUCCUUGCAAUAAAAGCACUCAGUCUCGGGCUUGGGUCCAUUCUUUGGCUUCUUCCCGGCAGCUUGCUUGCCGGGCGCGGCAACCCCCUUGCCGUCCUUCUUGAAGUUCUUUUUACCCUUGCCUUUCUUGAACUUAGUGGUUUUAUUGACCAUCAACACUUGAUGUUCCUUCCUGACUUCUACCUCUGCUGAUUUCAGCAUAGCAAAUACUUCAGGAAUGGUCUUUUCCAUCCCCUGCAUAUUGAAGUUCAUCACAAAGCUCUUGUAGCUUGGUGGAAGCGACUGGAGGAUUCUAUCAAUGACCGCAUCAUCCGGGAGAUUAACUCCCAGCUGAGUCAAGCGGUUAUGCAACCCAGACAUAGUGAGUAUGUGCUCACUGACAGAACUGUUUUCCUCCAUCUUACAGCUGAAGAAUUUGUCGGAGACUUCAUAUCUCUCGACCCGGGCAUGAGCUCGGAAAACCAUUUUCAGCUCUUCGAACAUCUCAUAUGCUCCAUGUCUCUCAAAACGCUUUUGGAGCCCCGGCUCUAGGCUGUAAAGCAUGCCGCACUGAACGAGGGAGUAGUCAUCGAAACGUGCCUGCCAAGCGUUCAUAACGUCUUGUUCCGCAGGGAGAACGGGUGCGUCACCAAGCGGUGCUUGUAGGACAUAAUCUUUCUUGGCAGCUAUGAGGAUGAUCCUCAGGUUCCGGACCCAGUCCGUAUAGUUGCUGCCAUCGUCUUUCAGCUUAGUUUUCUCUAGGAACGCGUUGAAGUUGAGGACUACGUUGGCCAUUUGAUCUACAAGACAUAUUGCAAAGAUUUUAGACUAAGUUCAUGAUAAUUAAGUUCAACUAAUCAAAUUAUUAGUGAACUCCCACUUAGAUUAGACAUCCCUCUAGUCAUCUAAGUAUUACAUGAUCCGAGUUAAACUAGACCGUGUCCGAUCAUCACGUGAGACGGACUAGUCAACAUCGGUGAACAUCUUCAUGUUGAUCGUAUCUUCUAUACGACUCAUGCUCGACCUUUCGGUCUUCUGUGUUCCGAGGCCAUGUCUGUACAUGCUAGGCUCGUCAAGUCAACCUAAGUGUUUGCAUGUGUAAAUCUGUCUUACACCCGUUGUAUGUGAACGUCUGAAUAAAACACCCGAUCAUCACGUGGUAUUUUGAAACAGCGAACUGUCGCAACGGUGCACAGUUAGGGGGAACACUUCUUGAAAUUAUUGUGAGGGAUCAUCUUAUUUACUACUGUCGUUCUAAGUAAACAAGAUGCAAAACAUGAUAAACAUCACAUGCAAUCAAAUAAUAAGCGUGACAUGAUAUGGCCAUUAUCACAUAGCUCCUUUGAUCUCCAUCUUGGGGCUCCAUGAUCAUCUUGUCACCGGCUUGACACCAUGAUGUCCAUCAUCAUGAUCUCCAUCAUCGUGUCUCCAUGAAGUUGCUCGCCAACUAUUACUUCUACUACUAUGGCUAACGCGUUUAGCAAUAAAGUAAAGUAAUUUACAUGGCGUUUCUUGAUGACACGCAGGUCAUAUAAAAGAAUAAAGACAACUCCUAUGGCUCCUGCCGGUUGUCAUACUCAUCGACAUGCAAGUCGUGAAUCCUAUUACAAUAGCAUGAACAUCUCAUACAUCACAUAUAGAUCAUUCAUCAUUCAUCACAACUUUGGCCAUAUCAUAUCACAAACCACUUGCUGCAAAAACAAGUUAGACGUCCUCUAAUUGUUGUUGCAAGUUUUACGUGGCUGAAUUAGGGUUCUAGCAAGAACGUUUUCUUACCUACGUUAAAGCCACAACGUGAUUUGUCAACUUCUAUUUACCCUUCAUAAGGACCCUGUUCAUCGAUUUCGCUCCAACUAAAGUAGGAGAGACAGACACCCGCCAGCCACCUUAUGCAACUAGUGCAUGUUAGUCGGUGGAACCGGUCUCACGUAAGCGUACGUGUAAGGUUGGUCCGGGCCGCUUCAUCCCACAAUACCGCUGAAGCAAGAAAGGACUAGUAACGGCAAGAAAGUUGACAAAUCUACGCCCACAACAAAUUGUGUUCUACUCGCGCAAGAAGAACUACGCAUAGACCUAGCUCAUGAUGCCACUGUUGGGGAACGUUGCAGAAAACAAAAAUUUUCCUACUCGUUUCACCAAGAUCAUCUAGGAGUUCAUCUAGCAACGAGUGAUUAGAUGCAUCUACAUACCUUUGUAGAUCGCGAGCGGAAGCGUUCAAAAGAACGGUGAUGAUGUAGUCGUACUCGACGUGAUUCAAAUCACCGAUGACCAGCGCCGAACGGACGGCACCUCCGCGUUCAACACACGUACGGGACGGGAGACGUCUCCUCCUUCUUGAUCCAGCAAGGGGGGAGGAGAGGUUGAUGAAGAUCCAGCAGCACGACGGCGUGGUGGUGGAUGCAGGGCGUCACAGCAGCAGGGCUUCGCCGAGACUACGAGGGAGAGACGUAACGGGGGGAGGUGGAGGCGCCAGGGGCUGGUGUAUUAGGUCCCUCCUCUCCCCACUAUAUAUAGGGGUGCCAAGGGGGGGUGGUGCACAGCCUAGGAGAUCCAAUCUCCUAUGGCCGGCGGCCAAGGGGAGGUUUCCCUCCCCCCCAAGGCACCUAGGGGUGCCUUCCACCACUAGGACUCCUCCUAGGGGGAAACCCUAGGCGCAUGGGCCUAUAGGGGCUGGUGCCCUUGGCCCAUGAAGGCCAAGGCGCACCCCCUACAGCCCAUGUGGCCCCCCGAGACAGGUGGCCCCACCCGGUGGACCCCCGGGACCCCUCCGGUGGUCCCGGUACAAUACCGAUAACCCCGAAACUUGUCCCGAUGCCCGAAAUAGCACUUCCUAUAUAUAAUUCUUUACCUCCGGACCAUUCCGGAACUCCUCGUGACGUCCGGGAUCUCAUCCGGGACUCCGAACAACAUUCGGGUUUCUGCAUAUACAUAUCUUCAUAACCCUAGCGUCACCGAACCUUAAGUGUGUAGACCCUACGGGUUCGGGAGACAAGCAGACAUGACCGAGACGACUCUCCGGUCAAUAACCAACAGCGGGAUCUGGAUACCCAUGUUGGCUCCCACAUGCUCCACGAUGAUCUCAUCGGAUGAACCACGAUGUCGAGGAUUUAAUCAAUCCCGUACGCUAUUCCCUUUGUCUAUCGAUAUGUUACUUGCCCGAGAUUCGAUCGUCGGUAUCCCAAUACCUCGUUCAAUCUCGUUACCGACAAGUCACUUUACUCGUACCGUAAUGCAUGAUCCCGUGACCAGACACUUGGUCACUUUGAGCUCAUUAUGAUGAUGCAUUACCGAGUGGGCCCAGUGAUACCUCUCCGUCAUACGGAGUGACAAAUCCCAGUCUUGAUCCAUGUCACCCAACAGACACUUUCGGAGAUACCCGUAGUCUACCUUUAUAGUCACCCAGUUACGUUGUGACGUUUGGCAUACCCAAAGCACUCCUACGGUAUCCGGGAGUUACACGAUCUCAUGGUCUAAGGAAAAGAUACUUGACAUUGGAAAACUCUAGCAAAUGAACUAUACGAUCUUGUGCUAUGUUUAGGAUUGGGUCUUGUCCAUCACAUCAUUCUCCUAAUGAUGUGAUCUCGUUAUCAAUGACAUCCAGUGUCCAUAGUCAGGAAACCAUGACUAUCUGUUGAUCAACGAGCUAGUCAACUAGAGGCUCACUAGGGACAUGUUGAUGUCUGUUAUUCACACAUGUAUUACGAUUUCCGGAUAACACAAUUAUAGCAUGAAUAAAGACAAUUAUCAUGAACAAGGAAAUAUAAUAAUAAUGCUUUUAUUAUUGCCUCUAGGGCAUAUUUCCAACAAUUAAAUCAUAGAAAUGUUGUGGUUUUAACCUCCGUCAAUAAGAACGUUUGACGAUACCAACUAUUCAAACAUGAGGAAAAUGGUGUUUGCAAUCUCUAUCAAGUACUCCCUUACUCAUUGAAAGUUUUAUCUCCACUAUAUUAGUCAGGAUGUAUUUCAUGAUUCAACAAUCCUAUAUAUCCCUCUAUAUAUUAUCGUAUGCAUUUGAACAAGUCAAAUGCCUGACCAGUGGCACCUCAUCAUCUCCAACGACCACCCCCAACUACCCAUCAAAUCUUAAAUGCAGCCCGUUGUUUAUAUGUCCUUUCUUUUUGCGGGGAGUUGUUUCUGUGCCCUUGAUCAUAUCUUGCUAGUACUGGCCAUCUAAUAUUUUAGUUGGAGAAAAUUGGAAGUUCGGAAAAUUGAUUGUGUGAUUAACUAUUCCCUUCAAGGUUGUGUUUCUGUAGUAUAAUUUAGUACGACGAAAGAAAGAGCUUAAAGCCGAAGAUAUGGUAAUCCGUAUUAUCUUUUUCUUCACCUUUAGUGAGAAAUCCGUGUCCGCCCCAGCAAGAAAACAUAUGUGCGUGUACAGAAGCACAACAACUUUCACGCUCAUUCCUUACUCCAAAACUAUAGGUUUUAGCCCUCCGUUCGCUGGUCGCCAAAGACGAUACUCAACCAUCUGACCCUAAUCAUGUAAUCGAAGCUCGCGAUCGUAACCGCCCCGCUCGUUCAUAUUACACGUGAAACUGUCCGAAAUAAAUAAGUGUUAGCAAUUCAACACUCAGUUCCAAUCUAGGGCUGUUAGAGACAUUUCAUCACACAACUCAUACAACAAUCAUAGGCUGAAAUCUCAGAAAAGAACUAGACGGUGGAUUUUAUGAGCAGUUGAUUUUGUGGGCAGAUUACCAAAAUCACAUUCUGAAGAAUCAUGGGGGAAAAGAAUUGGCCCAUACACACCCUCCAAAAGGACGUCCCUUCCCCAAAGGGCAGAUGCCAAGCCACAGAAAAGCAGCAGUCCAUGGGACUGCAGAUCCUCAGCUCCACGCCGGAGCACUCCUCCCAGCACUCUUCCGGCGCGUCCACGGCCACGACCGAGUCGGGUGCCGCCGGCCGGCUGCCGACGCCGCUGGGCCUACCUGUCGCCAUCCCCGACGAGGCCGUGACCUCGCGCUCGGCGUCGGCAUCGGCGCAGUCGGCGUCGUCGCGGUUCAAGGGCGUGGUGCCGCAGCCCAACGGGCGGUGGGGCGCCCAGAUCUACGAUCGCCACGCGCGCGUCUGGAUCGGCACGUUCCCCGACGAGGACGCCGCGGCGCGCGCCUACGACGUGGCCGCGCUCCGCUACCGCGGCCUCGACGCCGCCACCAACUUCCCGCGCACGGCCGCGUCGACGGAGCUCGCCUUCCUGGCGGCGCACUCCAAGGCCGAGAUCGUCGACAUGCUCCGCAAGCACACCUACUCCGACGAGCUCCGCCGGGGCCUGCGCCGCGGCCGCGGCAUUGGGGGCCGCGCGGAGCCGACGCCGUCGUGGGCGAGGGAGCCGCUCUUCGAGAAGGUCCUGACGCCGAGCGACGUCGGCAAGCUGAACCGCAUCGUGUUGCCGAAGCAGCACGCCGAGAAGCACAUCCCCCUGAAGCGCGCGCCGGAGACAACGACCGCCGCUGACAAGUGCGUGCUGCUCAACUUCGAGGACGGCGAGGGGAAGGUGUGGCGGUUCAGGUACUCGUACUGGAACAGCAGCCAGAGCUACGUGCUCACCAAGGGCUGGAGCCGGUUCGUCCGGGAGAAGGGCCUCGUCGCCGGCGACGUCGUCGUGUUCUCCUGCUCAGAGUACGGACAGGAGAAGCACUUCUUCAUCGACUACAAGAAGACCAUGACGGCGAGUGGCGGCGCAGCGGCGUCGCCGCCGCCGGUGGUGGAGACAGGCAAAAGAGAAGAAGCCCAUGUCGUGAGGCUGUUCGGCGUCGACCUCGCCGGAGAGAUGAGGGGGCUAGCGGCGCCGGCGGGGCUGGAGUUGUUCAAGAGGCAAUGGCAUUAGCGAGUAUGUUUGGUUUUGCAGCUGAGAAAUCUUUGCUAAACCAGUAGGAGUACUAUACUACUCCCUCCGUUCCCAAAUACUUGUCUUUCUAGGCAUUUCAAAUGAACUCAACAUACGGAUGUAUGUAGACAUAUUUUAAAGUGUAGAUUCACUCAUUUUGCGCCGUAUGUAGUCAUUUGUUGAAAUCUCUAGAAAGACAAGUAUUUAGGAACGGAGGGAGCAAUGUUCAUGAUCCUAAACAUGGUGGGCAUUGUGAGCUUAAUUACAUGAAGAGAAAAUUUGAACGGCUUGUUGGUCUUGGAUUGCAUUACGAUACUACGUAUUAAUUUGAUUACUAGGAGUAGUUCAUUCACAUGGCUAAAUGUGCCAAUUGCUAUCCUCAUUUGCAUUCAUUUUGGGGAAAUAUUGCGCAGGGUUAUCUCUUGCUUGAAUGGAUCAUAAAUUUGAGCAUUCAUCUUGUCUAAAUGACUAAAUCUCCAAGUAGCUUCAACUUCAUCAUUCAUUCAUUCUUACAUCAGUUAUACGAAAAGGGGUGGAGUGCAUAAUUUGUAAGAGUUGUCAUCAUGAAGCAUGAAUACACAGAUUAAAGAUUUUCGUUUUUCUCUAUUUUCUGGUUGUUUUUUCUAUUAAUGUUCAUGGCCCUACUGUUUUAGAUCUUGCUAGCAUAUACUUUCACGAAUAAUAUGCUCUGCCGGAAACUAUAACAAAAGUUAGUAACCUAUAUAUGUUACUUGUAUGUACUUAUUAAAGAAUAGCCUCACUCGUGGUAGUGCAAAAAAAGUAUUUUUCAUGCACUCAACUUACAAAAUUAUUUCCUCCGUCCGAGUUUAUAAGCCCCCUCGAAUUUUGAGUUAUACGCCAUAAAAAGGCUCAAAAUUUUGAGGGGUUCUAACGAGUCAUGAGGGGGCAGGUAGUACUCCCUCCGGUCCUUUUUACUUUGCACAUUGGAUUUGCCGAAAGUCAAACUUUGCUAAGUUUGACCAAAUUUAUAUUAGAAAUUAUUAGCAUCUAUAAUAUCUAAUAAAUAUAAUAUGAAAAUAUAUUCUAAGAUGAAUCUAAUGAUAUUGGUGUUGUUAUGUGAAUGUCUAUAAUUUUUUAUAUAAACUUGAUCAAAGUUGGAUGAGAUUGACUUCGGACAAAUCUAAUAUGCAGAGUAAAAAGGACCGGAGGGAGUACUAGUAGUAUUCUUUGUGCUACAAGAAACCAUGGUGUUUUCCUUUUCAAUUUGAAAAGGAGGGCCUCUUGAUUGAUGCAAACAACCAUUACAGCAUUAUGCUAAUUAAAUUACCUUUUUUACACACACUAUAAAUUGAGAAACUCCCCACUCAAUUUCUUUUGAGAAACUAAAGGUGGUGAGCAAAAAAUGUUGAUUUUGCCACCUGUUCUUUCAUUAACGAAACCGCCCUUUCGAGUGCUGAUAAAAACGUGUUGCGUUUGAGAGAAUGAACAGUUGAUUUCGCUGAUUAAACAUUAAGGUAUAUAUACCUUCGAUACAAAGACAGUAAUUACAUAGGCGGUAUGUGGUGGUUGCCUUUUUAAUAAAAAAUACGGGAAAUUUUAAACUUAAAAUAGAGCAUAAAAAGAUACAAACACAAUGCACAAGAACUGUUCUGUGUUUCCGGCCAGGAGAUGCUCACGGGCCAUCUCAAUCCUUCAUGACUCGGGGCUAAAUCUCGUGUUUUGACCCUUUUUUGAAACCUAUUCAAGAUUUGAUUCUAAUUUAAGAAAAAUCAAGAUUUGACCCUUUUGCUACCGCCAGGGACUAUGGUGGUAAGGUAUAACAGUCUAUCGCCAAGGUCCCUAGCGGUAGGGUUAUAUGCCCUACCACCAAAAAAACUCCUAAGUAUUGAACACAAUGCGUGCUCGUAUCUAUCGCCAAGCAUCUUGCCGGUAGGGUUGUGCAGGCUACCGCCGGCCCGGUUAACAAUACCGAUGUUUCCUACCGCCAGAGACCAUGGCGGUAGGCUGGAGCCAGUCUACCAGCCUACCGCCAUGGUCUCUAGCGGUAGCAAAAGGGUCAGAUUAUGAAAAAAUUUCAAACUAAGGUUCAGAAAGGAGUCAAAACAGGAAUUUGCCAGGACUCGGAAGGCGUGGCUGUGGCUGCUACGGCCGUAUUCAUGGCUGCCACAGCACAGCCGCUGGGCUCGUCAGCUGCCCCAGUGGGACCCAGUCCUGUACCCGCGUCAGAGAUGCAGACGACCGUCUUUGCGGUCAAAUAGUCAAUUGGCCAAUGGUUCCCGUGUCUUCGUGCCCAAGUCUUUCGAUCAUUUGUCGUAAAAAAGUCUGUCAAUCAGUUCAUGUCAUGUGUCCCGUAGCGAUGCACUGUAGCAUACUAGGUGCAGAUUUUCAUGCAACUUUACGCGUCACAUUUUCUUCCCGUUGGGAUACCAUGGCCCGGGAGAAUAAUCCGGUGAUACCAACUCUCCUUUGUUUCCAUGCUCCCACUUCAGAAGGAAAAAAAAGAGAAUUUAUGUGUUUUAAAAAUAGCUAAAAGGAUUUAUGAACGUUCACAAGACAUAUAUCUAUCAUCCUUAAAAGUUCCAGAUCCAAAUUCGAAUACACAUUUAUUUGCAAACAAAUGAAUACACAUUGAGAAAAUGAAAAGGUAAAGCCAGAUUUGAGCAGUGUCAUCUAGGGGUGGAUUAAUGAGCUGCUCGGCUCGUUAAGCUCGUUACGAUUAACGAGCAGGAAACCCUGCUCGGCUCGAUUCGUUUGAAACUCGUUAAACUCGUGAGCGCUCGUUAACAGAUUCUGAUGUGUCACGGUCUGCAUGAUGAGUGUGUAUAUGCGUUUUAUAAGAAGGAACAUGGCGAGUACAAAAGAAAAUGCACUAGCUUGUUGUCUCCUAUGUAGAGUAGAUUGAAUAGAUGGGAUGAAGUGCUACAAAAAUUUUGUCACGUGCGAUAAAAAUAUGUGUUGUCUUGUUACUAACGAGUUUAACGAGCUACUCGUGAAACUCGUUAGCUCAUUCGUUAAGCUCAUAAAGCUUAACAAGCUAAAAUCAAUGAUUGACUCUAUUCAUUAAGAAGCGAGCCAUGAGCUUAACGAGUCGAAAAAAAUUCAAUUAAACAAAGGCGAAAGCACCUGCCUCGAGAUAUUGCAGUGUCCCGAUUGGCGAUCCACGAUCAGGCGACAGCACGACGCCCCAGUUCCUGGCUUUCCGACGAGUCGUGUGUUCCUGGGCCCAGAACGAGAAUUGAAGGCCCGUGCUUGCCGAAAGUGGAUCUUAGCCCAAGGAAGCCUGGUCGCAGGAGGACACUGGAGCGUUGUUCUUUCUCAUUUUUAGUGAGUUCUACGUGUGAAAUGAACACCAUGCAUGAUAUAUAUGCAUAUAUGAGCAUCUAGACUAAAUAUCUAUUGCAGAAUGCAUUAGGCUAGCUCCGCCCCUCAUACAUGCCUUCCUAGUUCAGCCCACAUGACCCACAUAUCAUGUUUCCCUCUCUUCGAAGGCAAAGUCGAGGGGCUUUUAAGUCAUGUAAAUUUACCGGUUUAGAUGAAGUUCAACAUCCAUGCAUACUUUGGCAUCACAUCAUUUUAAAACUACAGGAUGUGCAGUUGCUUUAUGUUGACAUAAUAGUUUCUUAUUCUAAUGGCGCCCAAUCAUUUAAACAACUACAGAUACAUAAAUAAAAGGAAAUUACACAGCAACACACAAACAUUUAGGUACUCUCUCUCUCUCUCUGUUUCUUUUUACUCCGCAUAUAAAACUGUCUUAACUCAAAUUUUAUAAAUUUUCAUCAAAUUUAUAUUAAAAAAUAUCAACAUCUAUACAAUACUAAAGAUAUAUAAUUUGAAAUUUUAUUCCAUGAUGCAUCUAAUGAUAUUGAUUUGGUAUAGUGAAUGUUGAUAAUUUUUUGUAUAAAAUUGGCCAAACUUUACAAAGUUUGAGUCAAGACAAAUCUUAUAUGAGAGUAAAGAAAUAGAGGGAGUAGUUUACAUACAAAUGAGUCACACAGUGCAUUACGAAAAUAUUGAAUAAACACAUUAUGAAAAUAUAUCUAAUGGUGGGUAUAUUGAAAUUGAUUUGAUAUUAUUUAUCUUCAUAUUUUUUUUUGAACUGUCACCGGGGGAGGGAUAACAAUCCCUCCACCUGUAUUUUUUAUUGCCAAAUCACCAUAAGGAAGGGGGGAGGCCCUNNNNNNNNNNNNNNNNNNNNNNNNNNNNNNNNNNNNNNNNNNNNNNNNNNNNNNNNNNNNNNNNNNNNNNNNNNNNNNNNNNNNNNNNNNNNNNNNNNNNNNNNNNNNNNNNNNNNNNNNNNNNNNNNNNNNNNNNNNNNNNAUCUAACAACACAGACUAGAUCACCGCACCAACGCACUCACCCAAGCAUCAACAUGCGAGCGAUCACUGGGACGUAACCGCUCCCGCCAGAGAACAUCAUCCUCGCGACAGCAGCUUAACGCCCGAUCUAGAGACGGCACCAUAGCUUGAAAGAGCACACCAUUCCAAUGCUUCCAUAGGUGCCAGCAGCAAAGAAGGACAAAGGCGUCAGGAGAGGCCUCUCCGACAGUUGCCCUCACAUCGAAGGCGUGGAGCCGACCCACCGAAGUGUUCCUCGCGAUUACUGCAACCCCCACGGCGCGCCAGAACGCGCUCGCGAAUGGGCAGCCAAACAUCAAGUGGUCCGCAGUUUCCAGCUCGGCCAAGCAUACGGGGCAUCCGCCCCCCGCCCGAUCAACAAUGGUUUUCCGAAGGAGGACAACCCGGGUGUUAACCCCGUGGUGGAUAAGCAACCAGCAGAAGAAUUUCACCCGGGACGGCAUGCGCGCCCCCCAAAUGAAGGCCGCAUGCGGCGAGAAACACCCGCCAAAACGCAGCAGGGCGUAAGCGUGGCUCGUGACAAGGGCCCCGUCCGUGGAUGCCCACAGAGCGGCAGCGCCCUCUCAUCCACGCCCGGCGUCGCUUGGGAAGCCGGGAGGAGGGCGAGGAGGGCCGCGCGCUCCCUAGCGCCAGCCCCGGUGAACCUUGGGACCAGGAUGUGGUUGAGCCCGGACUCCCACACUCGAGACACGGUGGCCUCGGGGCACGUGGUAUGCGAGUGGAGCCGGAAAGGCGACACUCAGGGGCCGCAAGGCAGCCACCAGUCAUGCCAGAAGGAGGUCCUCCGCCCGUCUUUCACACGCACACGAGUCAUGGCUGUUGGGGAACGUAGCAGAAUUUUAAAAUUUUCUACGCAUCACCAAGAUCAAUCUAUGGAGUCAUCUAGCAACGAGGGAGAGAGGAGUGCAUCUACAUACCCUUGUAGAUCAUGAGUGGAAGCGUUCAAAAGAACGGGGUUGAUGGAGUCGUACUCGUCGUGAUCCAAAUCACUGAAGAUCCUAGCGCCGAACGGACGGCACCUCCACGUUCAACACACGUACGGAGCGAGGACGUCUCCCGCGCCUUGAUCCAGCAAGGAGGAGGGAGAGGUUGAGGAAGAGGGCUCCAACAGCAGCACGACGGCGUGGUGGUGGUGAAGCUGCAGUACUCCGGCAGGGCUUCGCCAAGCUCUUACGGAGGAGGAGAGGUGUUGGGGAGGGGAGGGGUUGCACCUUGGAUGUUGUGUGCAACCCUCCCCUCACCCCUCUAUUUAUACGGGAAGGGGGAAGGGGGCUGGCCCCCUCUAGAUGGGAUCUAGAGGGGGGGCGGCGGCCAAGGGGAGGGGGGCUUGCCCCCCAAGCAAGGGGGCGCCCUCUUUAGGGUUUCCCCCCAACCCUAGGCGCAUGGGCCCUAGGGGGGUGUGGCGCCCCAGCCCACUUGGGCUGGUUCCCUUCUCCAUACAGCCCAUAAGGCCCUCCGGAAGAGGUGGCCCCUCCCGGUGGACCCCCGGAACCCCUCCGGUGGCCCCGGUACAAUACCGAUAUGCCCCCCGAACCUUUCCGGCGACCGUAUGACAACUUCCCAUAUAUAAAUCUUUACCUCCGGACCAUUCCGGAACUCCUCGUGAUGUCCGGAUCUCAUCCGGGACUCCGAACAACAUUCGCUAAUCACAUACAAGUCUUCCUAACAACCCUAGCGUCACCGAACCUUAAGUGUGUAGACCCUACGGGUUCGGGGGACAUGCAGACAUGAUCGAGACGACUCUCCGAUCAAUAACACACAGCGGGAUCUGGAUACCCAUGUUGGCUCCCACAUGCUCCAUGAUGAUCUCAUCGGAUGAACCACGAUGUCGAGGAUUCAAUCAAUCCGUAUACAAUUCCCUUUGUCAAUCGGUACGUUACUUGCCCGAGACUCGAUCGUCGGUAUCCCAAUACCUUGUUCAGUCUCGUUACCGGUAAGUCACUUUACUCGUACCGUAAUGCAUGAUCCCGUGAUCAACCACUUGAUCACAUUGAGCUCAUUAUGAUGAUGCAUUACCGAGUGGGCCCAGACAUACCUCUCCGUCAUACGGAGUGACAAAUCCCAGUCUCGAUUCGUGCCAACCCAACAGACACUUUCGGAGAUACCUGUAAUGUGCCUUUAUAGUCACCCAGUUACGUUGUGACGUUUGGCACACCCAAGGCACUCCUACGGUAUCCGGGAGUUGCACAAUCUCAUGGUCUAAGGAAAUGAUACUUGACAUUCAGAAAAGCUACAACAAACGAACUACACGAUCUUUGAGCUAUGCUUAGGAUUGGGUCUUGUCCAUCACAUCAUUCUCCUAAUGAUGUGAUCCCGUUAUCAAUGACAUCCAAUGUCCAUAGUCAGAAAACCAUGACUAUCCUUUGAUCAACGAGCUAGUCAACUAGAGGCUCACUAGGGACGUGUUGUGGUCUAUGUAUUCACACAUGUAUUACGAUUUCCAGAUAACACAAUUAUAGCAUGAACAAUAGACAAUUAUCAUGAACAAAGAAAUAUAAUAAUAACCAUUUUAUUAUUGCGUCUAGGGCAUAUUUCCAACAGUCUCCCACUUGCACUAGAGUCAAUAUUCUAGUUACAUUGUGAUGAAUCGAACACCCAUGCAGUUCUGGUGUUGAUCAUGUGUUGCUCUAGGGAGAGGUUUAGUCAACGGAUCUGCCACAUUCAGGUCCGUAUGUACUUUACAAAUCUCUAUGUCUCCAUUUUGAACACUUUCACGAAUGGAGUUGAAGCGACGCUUGAUAUGCCUGGUCUUCCUGUGAAACCUGGGCCCCUUGGCAAGGGCAAUAGCUCCAGUGUUGUCACAGAAGAGAGUCAUCGGGCCCGACGCAUUGGGUAUGACUCCUAGGUCGGUAAUGAACUCCUUCACCCAGACUGCUUCUUGUGCUGCCUCCGAGGCUGCCAUGUACUCCGCUUCACAUGUAGAUCCCGCCACAACGCUUUGCUUGCAACUGCACCAGCUUACUGCCCCACCAUUCAAAAUAUACACGUAUCCGGUUUGUGACUUAGAGUCAUCCAGAUCUGUGUCGAAGCUAGCAUCGACGUAACCCUUUACGACGAGCUCUUCGUCACCUCCAUAAACGAGAAACAUUUCCUUAGUCCUUUUCAGGUACUUUAGGAUAUUCUUGACCGAUGUCCAGUGUUCCAUGCCGGGAUUACUUUGGUACCUUCCUACCAAACUUACGGCAAGGUUUACAUCAGGUCUGGUACACAACAUAGCAUACAUGAUAGACCCUAUGGCCGAGGCAUAGGGGACGACACUCAUCUUUUCUCUAUCUUCUGCCAUGGUCGGGCAUUGAGCCGUGCUCAAUCUCGUACCUUGCAAUACAGGCAAGAACCCCUUCUUUGACUGAUCCAUUUUGAACUUCUUCAAUAUCUUGUCAAGGUGCGUACUCUGUGAAAGACCAAUGAGGCGUCUCGAUCUAUCUCUAUAGAUCUUGAUGCCUACUAUAUAAGCAGCAUCUCCAAGGUCCUUCAUUUAAAAACACUUGUUCAAGUAGGCCUUUAUGCUUUCCAAGAAUUCUAUAUCAUUUCCCAUCAACAGUAUGUCAUCCACAUAUAAUAUGAGAAAUGCUAUAGAGCUCCCACUCACUUUCUUGUAAAUGCAGACUUCUCCAUAAGUCUGGAUAAACCCAAACGCUUUGAUCAUCUCAUCAAAACGAAUGUCCAAACUCCGAGAUGCUUGCACCAACCCAUAAAUCGAGCGUUGGAGCUUGCACACCUUGUCAGCAUUCUUAGGAUCGACAAAACCUUCCAGCUGCAUCAUAUACAAUUCUUCCUUAAGGAAACCAUUAAGGAAUGCCGUUUUGACGUCCAUUUGCCAUAUCUCAUAAUCAUAGAAUGCGGCAAUUGCUAACAUGAUUCAGACGGACUUCAACGCCGCUACGAGUGAGAAAGUCUCAUCGUAGUCAACCCCUUGAACUUGUCGAUAACCCUUAGCGACAAGCCGAGCUUUAUAGAUGGUCACAUUACCAUCCGCGUCUGUCUUCUUCUUAAAGAUCCAUUUAUUUUCUAUGGCUCGCCGAUCAACGGGCAAGUCAGUCAAAGUCCAUACUUCAUUUUCAUACAUGGAUCCUAUCUCGGAUUUCAUGGCUUCCAGCCAUUUGUCGGAAUCCGGGCACGCCAUCGCUUCUUCAUAGUUCGAAGGUUCACCGUUGUCUGACAACAUGAUUUCCAAGACAGGGUUGCCGUACCACUCUGGUGCGGAACAUGUCCUUGUGGACCUAUGAAGUUCAGUAGCAACUUGAUCUGAAGUUUCAUGAUCAUCAUCAUCAACUUCCUCUCUAGUUGGUGCAGGCACCUCAGGAACAUUUUCUUGAGCUGCGCCACUUACCGGUUCAAGAGGUAAUACUUCAUCAAGUUCUACCUUCCUCCCACUUAUUUCUUUCGAGAGAAACUCUUUCUCUAGAAAGGAACCAUUCUUGGCAACAAAGAUCUUGCCUUCGGGUCUGAGGUAGAAGGUAUACCCAACAGUUUCUUUAGGGUAUCCUAUGAAGAUGCAUUUUUCCGACUUGGGUUCGAGCUUUUCAGGUUGAAGUUUCUUGACAUAAGCAUCGCAUCCCCAAACUUUUAGAAACAACAGCUUAGGUUUCUUCCCAAACCAUAAUUCAUACGGUGUCGUCUCAACGGAUUUUGACGGAGCCCUAUUUAAAGUGAAUGCGGCAGUCUCUAAAGCAUAGCCCCAAAAUGACAGCGGUAAAUCGGUAAGAGACAUCAUAGAUCGCACCAUAUCCAAUAGAGUGUGAUUACGACGUUCGGACACACCAUUACGCUGAGGUGUUCCAGGCAGCGUGAGUUGUGAAACUAUUCCACAUUUUCUUAAGUGUGUGCCAAAUUCGUGACUCAAGUAUUCUCCCCCACGAUCUGAUCGCAAGAACUUGAUUUUCUUGUCACGUUGAUUCUCAACCUCACUCUGAAAUUCCUUGAACUUUUCAAAGGUCUCAGACUUGUGUUUCAUUAAGUAGACAUACCCAUAUCUACUCAAGUCAUCAGUGAGGGUGAGAACAUAACGAUAGCCACCGCGAGCCUCAACACUCAUUGGACCGCACACAUCAGUAUGUAUGAUUUCCAAUAAGUUGGUUGCUCGCUCCAUUGUUCCUAAGAACAGAGUCCUGGUCAUUUUACCCAUGAGGCAUGGUUCGCACGUGUCAAAUGAUUCGUACUCAAGAGACUCUAAAAGUCCAUCUGCAUGGAGCUUCUUCAUGCGUUUGACACCUAUGUGACCAAGGCGGCAGUGUCACAAGUAUGUGGGACUAUCAUUAUCAACCUUACAUCUUUUGGUAUUCACACUAUGAAUAUGUGUAGCAUUAUGCUCGAGAUUCAUUAAGAAUAAACCAUUCACCAUCGGAGCAUGACCAUAAAACAUCUCUCUCAUAUAAAUAGAACAACCAUUAUUCUCGGAUUUAAAUGAGUAGCCAUCUCAAAUUAAACGAGAUCCUGAUACAAUGUUCAUGCUCAAAGCUGGCACUAAAUAACAAUUAUUGAGGUUUAAAACUAAUCCCGUAGGUAAAUGUAGAGGUAGCGUGCCGACGGCGAUCACAUCGACCUUGGAACCAUUCCCGAGGCCCAUCGUCACCUCGUACUUCGCCAGUCUCCGCUUAUUCCGCAGCUCCUGUUUUGAGUUACAAAUGUGAGCAACCGCACCGGUAUCAAAUACCCAGGAGCUACUACGAGUACUGGUAAGGUACACAUCAAUUACAUGUAUAUCACAUAUACCUUUCGUGUUGCCGGCCUUCUUGUCCGCUAAGUAUUUUGGGCAGUUCCACUUCCAGUGACCACUUCCCUUGCAAUAAAAACACUCAGUCUCGGGCUUGGGUCCAUUCUUUGGCUUCUUCCCGACAGCUUGCUUACCGGGCACGGCAACUCCCUUGCCGUCCUUCUUGAAGUUCUUUUUACCCUUGCCUUUCUUGAACUUAGUGGUUUUAUUCACCAUCAACACUUGAUGUUCCUUUUUGAUUUCCACCUCUGCUGAUUUCAGAAUUGAAUAUACCUCAGGAAUGGUCUUUUCCAUCCCCUGCAUAUUGAAGUUCAUCACAAAGCUCUUGUAGCUUGGUGGAAGCGACUGAAGGAUUCUGUCAAUGACCGCAUCAUCCGGGAGAUUAACUCCCAGCUGACUCAAGCGGUUAUGCAACCCAGACAUUUUGAGUAUGUGCUCACUGACAGAACUAUUUUCCUCCAUCUUACAGUUAAAGAACUUGUUGGAGACUUCAUAUCUCUCAACCCGGGCAUGAGCUUGAAAAACCAUUUUCAGCUCUUCGAACAUCUCAUAUGCUCCGUGUCUCUCAAAACGCUUUUGGAGCCCCGGUUCUAAGCUGUAAAGCAUGCCGCACUAAACGAGGGAGUAAUCAUCAGCACGUGACUGCCAAGCGUUCAUAACGUCUUGGUUCUCUGGUACAGGUGCGUCACCUAGCGGUGCUUCUAGGACAUAAUCUUUCUUGGCAGCUAUGAGGAUGAUCCUCAGGUUUCGGACCCAGUCCGUAUAGUUGCUGCCAUCGUCUUUCAGCUUGGUUUUCUCUAGGAAUGCGUUGAAGUUGAGGACAACGUGGGCCAUUUGAUCUACAAGACAUGUUGUAAAGAUUUUAGACUAAGUUCAUGAUAAUUAAGUUCAUCUAAUCAAAUUAUUCAAUGAACUCCCACUCAAAUAGACAUCCCUCCAGUCAUCUAAGUAUAACAUGAUCCGAGUUAACUAGGCCGUGUCCGAUCAUCACGUGAGACGGACUAGUCAACAUCGGUGAACAUCUUCAUGUUGAUCGUAUCUUUUAUACGACUCAUGCUCGACCUUUCGGUCUUCUGUGUUAGGAGGCCAUGUCUGUACAUGCUAGGCUCAUCAAGUCAACCUAAGUGUAUUGCGUGUGUAAAUCUGGCUUACACCCGUUGUAUUCGAACGUUAGAAUCUAUCACACCCGAUCAUCACGUGGAGCUUCGAAACAACGAACCUUCGCAACGGUGCACAGUUAGGGGGAACACUUUCUUGAAAUUAUUUCGAGGGAUCAUCUUAUUUAAGCUACCGUCGUUCUAAGCAAAUAAGAUGCAAAACAUGAUAAACAUCACAUGCAAUCAAAUAGUGACAUGAUAUGGCCAAUAUCAUUUGCUCCUUUUGAUCUCCAUCUUUGGGGCUCCAUGAUCAUUGUUGUCACCGGGAUGACACCAUGAUCUCCAUCAUCGUGUCUUCUUGAAGUUGUCUCGUCAUCUAUUACUUCUACUACUAUGGCUAACGCUUUAGCAAUAAAGUAAAGUAAUUACAUGACGUUUAUGUUGACACGCAGGUCAUAAAUAAAUAAAGACAACUCCUAUGGCUCCUGUCGGUUGUCAUACUCAUCGACAUGCUAGUCGUGAUUCCUAUUACAAGAACAUGAUCAUCUCAUACAUCACAUAUAUCAUUCAUCACAUCCUUUGGCCAUAUCACAUCACAAAACACUUGCCGCAAAAACAAGUUAGACGUCCUCUAAUUGUUGUUGCAAGUUUUUACAUGGCUGCUAUAGGUUUCUAGCAAGAAUGUUUCUUACCUACGCCAAAACCACAACGUGAAUUGCCAAUUUCUAUUUACCUUCAUAAGGACCCUGUUCAUCAAAUCCGAUCCGACUAAAGUGGGAGAGACAGACACCCGCCAGCCACCUUAUGCAACUAGUGCAUGUCAGUCGGUGGAACCGGUCUCACGUAAGCGUACGUGUAAGGUUGGUCCGGGCCGCUUCAUCCCACAAUGCCGCCGAAUCAAGAUAAGACUAGCAACGGCAAGAUAAUUGACAAUAUCGACUCCCACAACUGCUUUCUGUUCUACUCGUGCAUAGUAACUACGCAUAGACCUAGCUCAUGAUGCCACUAUUGGGGAAUGUAGCAGAAUUUUAAAAUUUUCUACGCAUCACCAAGAUCAAUCUAUGGAGUCAUCUAGCAACGAGGGAGAGAGGAGUGCAUCUACAUACCCUUAUAGAUCACGAGCGGAAGCGUUCAAGAGAACGGGGUUGAUGGAGUCGUACUUGUCGUGAUCCAAAUCACCGAAGAUCCUAGCGCCGAACGGACGGCACCUCCGCGUUCAACACACGUACGGAGCGAGGACGUCUCCUGCGCCUUGAUCCAGCAAGGAGGAGGGAGAGGUUGAGGAAGAGGGCUCCAACAGCAGCACGACGACGUGGUGGUGGUGAAGCUGCAGUACUCCGGCAGGGCUUCGCCAAGCUCUUACGGAGGAGGAGAGGUGUUGGGGAGGGGAGGGGUUGCGCCUUGGAUGUUGUGUGCAGCCCUCCCCUCACCCCUCUAUUUAUAUGGGAAGGGGGAAGGGGGGCGGCCCCCUCUAGAUGAGAUCUAGAGGGGGGGUGGCGGUCAAGGGGAGGGGGGCUUGUCCCCCAAGCAAGGGGACGCCCCCUUUAGGGUUUCCCCCCAACCCUAGGCGCAUGGGCCCUAGGGGGGUUGUGGCGCCCCAGCCCACUUGGGCUGGUUCCCUUCUCCAUACAGCCCAUAAGGCCCACCGGAAGGGUGGCCCCUCCCGGUGGACCCCCGGAACCCCUCCGGUGGCCCCGGUACAAUAUCGAUAUGCCCCCGAACCUUUCGGGCGACCGUAUGACAACUUCCCAUAUAUAAAUCUUUACCUCUGGACCAUUCCGGAACUCCUCGUGACGUCUGGGAUCUCAUCCUGGACUCCGAACAACAUUCGGUAAUCACAUACAAGUCUUCCUAACAACCCUAGCGCCACCGAACCUUAAGUGUGUAGACCCUACGGGUUCGGGAGACAUGCAGACAUGACCGAGACGACUCUCCGGUCAAUAACCAACAGCGGGAUCUGGAUACCCAUGUUGGCUCCCACAUGCUCCACGAUGAUCUCAUCAGAUGAACCACGAUGUCAAGGAUUCAAUCAAUCCGUAUACAAUUCCCUUUGUCAAUCGGUACGUUACUUGCCCGAGACUCGAUCGUCGGUAUCCCAAUACCUUGUCCAGUCUCGUUACCGACAAGUCACUUUACUCGUACCGUAAUGCAUGAUCCCGUGAUCAACCACUUGAUCACAUUGAGCUCAUUAUGAUGAUGCAUUACUGAGUGGGCCCAGAGAUACCUCUCCGUCAUACGGAGUGACAAAUCCCAGUCUCGAUUCGUGCCAACCCAACAGACACUUUCGAAGAUACCUGUAAUGUACCUUUAUAGUCACCCAGUUACGUUGUGACGUUUGGCACACCCAAGGCACUCCUACGGUAUCCGGGAGUUGCACAAUCUCAUGGUCUAAGGAAAUGGUACUUGACAUUCAGAAAAGCUACAGCAAACGAACUACACGAUCUUUGAGCUAUGCUUAGGAUUGGGUCUUGUCCAUCACAUCAUUCUUCUAAUGAUGUGAUCCUAUUAUCAAUGACAUCCAAUGUCCAUAGUCAGGAAACCAUGACUAUCCUUUGAUCAACGAGCUAGUCAACUAGAGGCUCACUAGGGACGUGUUGUGUUCUAUGUAUUCACACAUGUAUUACGAUUUCCGGAUAACACAAUUAUAGCAUGAACAAUAGACAAUUGUCAAGAACAAAGAAAUAUAAUAAUAACCAUUUUAUUAUUGCCUCUAGGGCAUAUUUCCAACAAUGGCACGGUAAAGCGGCAGCAUGCCACGGAGAGAUCGCCCAUGUGCCCCGGCAAGGCGGCAGCUCCCAGGGUGGAGAAGGGAUCGCCCAUUCAGCUCCGUCCAUAUCCACGACGCCCACCGGGACGCCGACGAGUGGAGACGAUGAAGCAUCCUGAGCAGCAAGCACGUGUUCUGGGUAGCGAGAUCCCGCACCCCGACACUGCCUUCGCUCUUCGCCCUGCAGACUUGGCUCCAUGCAAUCAAACACUGAGCUCCCGUGGCGCGGUCGGCCGCAUUCCAAAGGAAGGCGUGGCGAAGAGCAUCCAUGGUCUUGACAACAGCCGGCGGAAGGACGACCGCAGCCAUGGCAUACGUGGGGAGAGAGUCCAGCACCGCAUUGAUCAGGACCAGGCGCCCCGCGGGGGAGAGAAGGCGCGCCCGCCGCCCCGCCAAGUAAGCAUCGACCUUGGCGAUCAUCGGCGCGAAGUCAGUCGCCGACAGCUUUUCCCAGAACAGUGGCAGGCCCAUGUAGGGUUGCGGGAACCCCUGGACGGAGCAGGAGAGGGCCUCCACAGCCUCGGUAACCACGUCGUCAGCAACAUGCACUACUAGGGAAAACCCUAGUAGUAGCGCGGCUUUAAUGCCCACUCCCGCGCUACUAAUAAGGCGGUACAGCUAUUACUUAGCAGUAGCGCGUGCGACACGCGCUACUGCUAAGGCACAUAGCUGCAGCGUUUGUUCUCUCUCGCGCUGCUGCUAAUCUAACUAGUAGCAGCGUGUUUACUAUCCACCGCUACUAGUAUUCUUUUUUUAUUUUGAGUGUAUUUAUACGCCGUUAUACAAAUUUUGGUACAAUACCAAUUAUGAGGUUUAUAUCAUUAUGUCCAUAACAGGGUGUCAAAUGAAGGUGGAUUAGGUUCAAGUGGAGGCAAUAUGUGGUGCAUGUCAAAAGUAUACUACUAAUCCAAACUUGAUCUAGUUUGGACUAGUAGUACUUUCGAUGUGCACCACAUGUUGCCUCCACUUGAAUCUAAUCUGCUAGCACAAGCUAUUUAAUCAUCAUCAUAGUGAUUAGCACCAAUAGUAGUUAUUUAAUCAUCAUAGUCAUAGUGUAGCACAUCAUCAUCUUCAAACUCAUUUCUAGCUAGCUAAUCACUCCUGCUGCUCUCUCUCAGGUAAAAUAAUAUAAAACAUGUGUAGCACUCCUGCUUCAUCAAGUUGGAGCAUGCAGAUGAACAUGUCUCCUAAUCAUGGGAUGCGCGUCUGAUUGCUGCCCCCUAGUACUUCUCUGCGAUCGUUCACAAGUUUGCUCCAGUCUUUCACUAUUAAGCAUUCCUCGCUAUUAGAAAUCCUGAAUGCACUAAAGUGCGUUGUAGGAAAUCUUGGUCGUAAGCUAACAAUUCUCAUGCGACCUUUAGUCUCAAUCCAAUGAGGCACAACAUUCAUCAGGAGUCCCUGUUGAAGAACAUCGUAUAGUAACAUACUUAGCAUUGAAAUUUAGCUUAAAAAUAAUGUAUGCAAAAGAUGCACUGAGGACAAAUAGUAAAAAUCUUACCAUCUUUCCUAAAUAGAUGUGACCGUAGUUCAGUAUAAUCACUAUUGGUCGCAUGUUUUGAGUACUAAGAUAAGUCCAGAAAAAUAAUUUGUCUUGACAUCAUGAAGAUCCUCAAGCCAUGAAACAUAAUGACUUAUCUCCUUGUAGUUUAGUUCAGCCCCGGGACAGUAGUAGGUCCUGUCUACCAAGCGCUGGACAUGUUUGCUUGAACGGAAAUAAGCUAUCAAUAGAAAAUAGUUGUCAACUAUUUUUGAAUAAACAAUAUCAAAUAUAUAAAUAUGGUUGAGAAACUCACAUAAUGGUAUAACUGGAGGCGUCUGCACAUCGACCCAGAUGUCGAUAUUACCUUCAAUAUAAUCUUUCGAACGAGUAUCAAAGGUGAUAACCAUAUCAGACUCAAAUGCAUAAGUCUUGCAUAGUGCUUGCCAAGUUUUGCAUCCAAAAUAGGUGUAGGUGUCUAUGUUGUAUAAUUUUACAUGGAAAAUAUAACCAUGUUCGGUCUUCAAGUAAACUCUCUUUACCUCCAUAGUAGUUUCUAUAUGACUGAAACCUAUCUUAUCCAAGACAAAAACUCUUGCAUGGCAGGGGAUACGCUAGUAGAAUAGUAAAAAAAUUAAAUUAUAAGUUGAAGCAAAUGAAGCAGAUGUCAUGCUUAAUUACAAAAAAAGACUUGUCGUUGUGACUUACUGUAUCCACUUCGAAGUUCUCGUCCAGCUUGAUGCUGAAGCGCCUAUCAUCAUCUAGGAAGAUUCUGUCGCACAGGCCACGCUCGUCUUCGCAGUAUUUGCAAAUACCGAAAUCCUUUUCGUCGUCAGACAUUUUCUAUGUUCAUAGUUGAAACAUUAAUUGAAAAUCGAUCGAAGACAACUACCAGGAUACUCAACACACAAAUUCGGGGCACUCGAUAUUUCCAACAUAUUCUGGCACAAGUCAUGCCAAAAUUCACGGAAAAAUCCGGCAUGACCUUUGCUAAAAUAGGACAUAUCGAGCGCCUGAAUUUUGCCGGAACAGAAAUGAAUCAACACUCUGGCAAAACAUAGGCCACUCGGAGGUGUAACCUGCAAACAUGACCGGCCACUUGGGCAAGCACAUGUCCUAUUUGAGCAACACAAGAUAUACAUUUCAGAAUAUCUUAUAGGACUCAUAUUGACAUGAGCAUUCAAUAAGCAAAACCAAAUCGUAAAAUAAAUAAGUAUUCAAAUUAGCAUGCAUUCAAUAAGCAAAAGUAAAUCAUCUCUUGCUCCGUACAUCAUCGAAUAUUAUCACUAAUACAUCCCGAAUAGUAUCAUACAUAUAACAUCACUAAUACAACUAAAACCCUAGCGAACGACGGGUAUCGGCGCGGGCGGUGGACACCCAAAGAGAAGGAACCAUCACAGGAUCAUAGCUCCAGUGAGAUCCCUGGAGAACCUGCCAGGUAUUGGAGAACAUGUGCUCCAGCGCAACCAAGUAGCGACGGACGUGCGCGUCCUCCUCGCGCACACGGUGACGUACCACCUUCACGGGGUCCUCAAGCCUCUCGACCGUCACUGGCCCAUGCGACCGCCACCAAAGAAGGUUCGUGUCAACGACGGGCUGACUCCUCACCAAGCUGCGCCCCCUGGUAGGUAGCGUCUCCCAGUACCAGCCCGGCGGAGCCCAGUCCCGGACAUGGCCCAUCUGGUCCAGCAGGCGUCCUCCACCGAGUCGACGACGAGGAUGCGGGAUAGGCAUCGUCGAUGUCGAUGCGGGAAAAAUUGCUUUAACUAAAAAAUAACAACAAAUGUGACAUAUUCAACUAGUUCUUAGAGAAAAUUCCUUAUUUGACAUUAUCUUAAAAUCUGCUUCCUUAUUUGACACUGGAAAAGUUGUUCUUCCCUAUUUGACACAAGUUCUAAAUUUUAUUUCCUAUAUGACAUUUUCGUCCAUUUUGAGCCUAAAUGACAUCUGAAAAGACUCUUUUGCCCAAUAUGUGGUAUGUGUGUGGGGGGCAAUAGGGCGCACACGCAGCAUCAGUGCGAGGGCAGGAGCACACACGCAGCAACACAUACACAUGCACCAACACACAACGCAGGCGUACACACGCAACAACACGCGCGCGCGUGCACACACACACACACGCAGCAACACACAUGCACACGCACACACACGCAGCAACACACACUUCACGCAGCACACACACAUACACACACACGCAGGCAGCACAUAGGCACACAACCGCACACACACACCCGCGCGCGCACGUACACACGCAGUAGCAAACACACGCAGCAGCACACAUGCAGCAGCAGCACACACGCAGGCAGCACAUAGGCACGCAACAGCACACACACACACGCACGCACGUACACACGCAGCAGCAAACACACAUGCACACACACAUGCAGCAGCAGCACACAUGUGCGCGUGCACCCACACACGCAACAGCACAUGCGCGCGCGCACACAUACCACAUGAAGGGCAAAAUCGUCUUUUCAGAUGUCAUUUAGGCUCAAAAUGGACGGAAGUGUCGUAUAGGGAAUAAAAUUUAAGACUAGUGUCAAAUAGGGAAGAAAAACUUUUCCAGUGUCAAAUAAGAAACCAGAUUUUAAGACAGUGUCAAAUAAGGAAUUUUCUCUAGUUCUUACUAAAAAUAAACUUACUAUAAAUAAAAAUAAACUAGUACCUAAUUAGUACCUAGUUCUUACUAACUAAUUAGUACAUAGGAACUACUUCCCUAAUUACCAUCUAAUUUGAUGAACCUAGGGGUGGAAAGUGGUAGCGGAUAUUCCAAUUAUCCAAUUAAAAGUGAAAUAAAUGGUCAAAUUUUACUCGUUUUAUUAUGCAUUACAAUAGUGUUUAUUCAUCAUCUAAGAAAACAUCAGAGCCACGUUCGUAUCCGAUGACAUCCGCAUCCGAUUCGUUUCCACCCAUAACCCUAACUAAUUUGAUGCAACUAAAAUUUGAAGAACUCUAGGCAGAGGUAGGGGAGGGGGAGGAGCAGGCGUGCUCACCUCGGGUGCCUGCGACGAGGGAAGGGCAGGCGGCGUCGAGGUCGGGGUCGUGGCUCGGGUGCGCGGCGGAGGGCGGCGUCGAGGUCGGGGUAGGGGGCGGCGUCGAGGUCGGGGUCGGGGGCGGCGUUGAAUCCGGGGUCGGGGGUGGCGUCGAGGGUGUGCGGAGAGUGACGGGAGAGCGUGCGGCGGCCGACGGGCGACGGCGGCGGCGACAGCAGAGGAGUUGGAUUUGGUGGAAGUGGCCGUUGGGAAGAACGAACCGUGCGGUUAAGUCAGAAGUAGCAGUAGCGCGUUUCAGGAAGAGCGCUGCUGCUAAGCUAGCUACAGCGCGUUCCUCUAUACACGCUACUGCUAUUCCUUUCUCUUUUUCCCCUUUUCAUUUAUUUUUCUUUACAUUUUUUUCUUUCACCUUUCUCUAUUUCUUCCAGUUUCAUUUACUUUUCUAUUUGAUUUUUAUUUAAUUUUAUUUCCUUUAGCAGUAGCGCCUUUCAGCGUAAACGCGCUACUACAAAGCAAGUAGCGGUAGCGCGGUUCGACAUAGAUCGCUCCUACUAUGUGUAGCCUAUCGGCUAAGCCGUGAGAAUUUUAGUAGUAGCGCUUUUAUCACCAGGCGCGCUACUGCUACAACUGUAUCUGUGGCACCGUUUACAUCAGCUGCUACUGCUAAUUAGCACCAGCGUGCUUUUUUAACACGCGCUACUGUUAAAGUUCUGUGUAUAAGGUUUUCCCUAGUAGUGAUGGAUCGGCACCAGAGUGCUUUUGCUGUAGUUGAUGCCCAGCCCAGUGGCCGCGGCAAAGUCGUCCAGGAUGUGCCGAAGAUACGCCGCCGCUUUCACCGACGCGCGAUGAUGAUGAGGGUGUCGUCGGCGUAUUGGAGCACAAUCGGUGGGUCGCCGUCCACCACCGGAUGCCUGAGCAGAGGGUCUCGCCGCACCAUCCGUUGCAGGACGUCCGCCGCCAGGAGGAAGAGGUGGGGCGAUAUCGGGUCCCCUUGGCGAAGGCCACACCUGACCGGGAACCACGCCCCAGGCACGCCGUUGAGCAGCAUGGUGGAGCGGGAGGAGCGAAGGAUAGCAUCCAUCCACGCGCACCACCUCUCAGGGAAGCCGCGCACCUCCAUAACCCAAUUGACGGAGUCGAAUGCUUUAGCAAAAUUCUUCAUAUUUUUUUAUACAUGUUUGGUCAAACUUACGAAGCAUUGACAUUUUUGACUCAGUAUAUAUGCAAAUGGACCGGGGUUUACGGUUUGCACAGAUAGGAGGGCACGGUGGUUGCCUGCCAACACACAUCUGGUGACCUGGUGUAAAAUACGCAUACCCAUUGUCACCAAAGUUCAUACAGAACAUCGUAGGAAAUGGUGGAGAGCCAUUUCCUAUGCACUAGGGCUAGCCAGUGUUUUUCACCUCUGCACUUCAAAAUACAAGGCCAUUGGCAGGCGCAUAUGCGUAUGCAGGUGCUUGUGUACCUCACAGUAGUACGAAUAAUUUAGAUAAUUGGUCUGCAACACACAUAUAAUAAACUAGUUAGAUAACAACUUUCAAUUUAUAUGUAGGUGCAUGCAUAAAUCAUCUAGGAAGUUCAAACACAAGAUGACUUGCAGGUGGAGACUACAGAGGCACUUGGGUUCCUUACAAUCUGUACAUAUAAGAUGAUUUGACAACACACUUGUAGGCGUUCGAAUCUUGAGAACCGGUGGUUGUAGUCGGUAGUAAGAAAAAAUGAACACACAAUCAUUUAUAGUGUGUUCUAAAACUUCUUCAUAGCAUUCAUUUGCAUAGGUUUCUUUUUGUGGGGAUAUACCUGAAAAAGGCAUAAUUAAGUGAGCCAUGAUGUUUUUUAUAUAUACAAAAGACUACCAUUGAGAUAUGAACAGACUUGCUCGGAUCCUGGUAGCUACACUUAAUUUGAGGAGAGUUGCCGAAUCCUGGUAGCGACACAUCGACAAGAGUAGCCACAUAAAUGAGCUCUUAAGAGUACAUUUAAGAUAUUUGUAAACUGUAUAAGCAGUAGAUUUUUGGAUGGAAAGAAAAGGGUACAAGGCUUGGAACUGGAACUGAAUCGGGUACUCUCUGGAACUGAGUCGGGUACUCUCUGAAGUAUGAAGUAGACACUAGGCGGGCAUGCAGACUGAACAUUCCUUUGCUAAGAACAGCUGCAACCAACUAAAUUAACAUAAAAAUACAUUUUACUCUUAAGAGCUCAUUUAUCCAAAUAUUGGAGUCACUGCCUUCGUGAAUAAUGAUUGCUUGGCGAUUGAUUAAUAAUAAAGAUAAAUGUGUACUAGUGAGGUGCUGCUAGACCUGCAUAUUGAGAAGGUAGAUGUGUCGUCCUUCAGGUUUUGUCAUGUUCCAUUAUCGCUGUCAUUAAUAUUUCUUUUGGAGUAUUACUAUCAUGUAUUACUUGUUGUGAUACCUAUCAUCCUCGAAGUUGAGGAAGAGCAAUGCUUAGUCCUUGCAGGAACAUACGGCGAGCUGAAAAACAUAAUUUACUCUGUGACUCCAAUAUAACCUACACGAGGUUUGAUUUUUUUUUUCCGAAAAGGAGGUUAUCCCCCGGCCUAAUACGAGGUUUGAUGAACGAACUUAGACAACAUGCAACUUUAUUAUUUAUAUUUAUUGUUUGUUUUCUGAGAAUUCUGUAGAACAUUGUAACAAAAAAGUGUGUGUUGCUAGCAUGGAAAGGAAAAUUUAAUUUACCUAAGAAAUGGUAGUCUGCUAAAGUGGUAUAGUCUGAGUGCCUUGUCACGUGCGAUUUAUUUCAGCACCAGACUUAUAUACAUUUCUUAAUCAUAAAUGGGUUUUUCUAUUCUUCAACAACUAAGAAAUAACCUUCUAACUCGCCACUGAGAACCGGUCGAUGAAGACCAUGGGAUUCAUGCAAGUAAACAGAGGAAGUAGAAGAUUUUGAUUGGAGAGCUAUCGGGUUUGUUGAGCGCGAAAUAAGUAUUUCUAAGUCAAACUCAGAGAUAACCACUUGCAAAAGUUUGGGUGUUGUUCCAAGAAAAGAAGCCAUUGCAAUGGAUAAACUCAAGAGAUUAUUGAUAUACUUACUCUUCAACUUAUUCUUAAUUCGGUUCAUUAAUCAAGAUGCAUUCACUUUACAAUAAUCAUGAAGUAUGAGGAGAAACAGGCUCUUGUACAAAUUAUUACAUGAAUGACGGGCGAGAAUGCGCAUAACGUGUGCUGGAAUCAUAUGUAUGUCCUCUUUUCAAAAUAGGCUCAGUAAAAUGAAGUAACUAGAUGCAGCAUUUGGUAUGUAAUUCCUCGCCGAUAAGAGGGAUGAACCUCGACGGCCGAAGCAGAUUUCUGAUUUGCGCACUCCAUGGACUGAUCUUACAUGCUCGGCUUCGAGCUGAGACGGCUCGCGAGCUUCUGGCCGAGAGACUUGUCAGCCUGCACGACCGCACAAGAAGCAAAUUCAGCAUCUUGAUAGUAGUAUUUUUCACAGAACAUGGAAAAAAUUACACAAACUUCUUCAGAGGACAUUGCAUGUGUGGUGCACAUCUGUAAGAAUGUUGUCGUGUUUGAUUACCUGAGACCAGUAGGAGAGCCAGAUGGCCUUGAUCUCGUGGGUGAGGCGGGGGUCGGACAGCGCAUCGAUCCAUCUGUUGAUGAAUCGCUCUUGCCUGCACACACACACACACACACACACCAUUCAGUUAGAACAAUUGCUGGCUAUGUUACUCCCUCUGUAAAUUAAUAGUGAUCUAAACGCUCUUAUAUUAGUUUACGGAGAGAGUAAUUGAUACAAUAGCUUGGUACUACGCACCUUGCCGGGUCCAUGGAGCGGUACCUCUCCCCGGGCUGCUUGAAGUUGUUCUCCUUCUCGAUCACCGUCUACAAUUCAUGCAUUUUAAGUUUUGAACUUGCUGACUUGUGAGAAGAAGAGAUGAGGAGGUAGCAGGAGUACCUUCUCGCGGCGGCCGUUGAGGGUGCGGGAGGGGAUGGGGUAGCGGGGCGCGUGCUUGGCGGGGUCGAACCUGGAGGGGAAGUAGUCGACCUCCUCGUCGCGGUGCAUGAAGUUCAUGAGCCCGUCGUAGUGGUUGUUGUGGUGGGAGCACUUGGGCGCGUUGGCCGGCAGCAGCAGGUAGUUGGGCCCCAGCCGGUGGCGCUGCGUGUCCGAGUAGGAGAAGAUCCUCGUCUGCAGCAGCUUGUCGUCCGAGUAGUACACCCCGGGGACGAUGAUCCCGGGGCAGAAGGCCAGCUGCUCGUUCUCCGCGAAGAAGUUGUCGAUGUUGCGGUUGAGCACCAGCCGCCCCACCGGCUGCAGCGGCACCACGUCCUCGGGCCACGUCUUGGUCACGUCCAGCGGGUCGAAGUCGAACCGCUCCUCGUGGUCCGGGUCGAUGGUCUGGAUGUAGAAGGUCCACUCCGGGUAGUUGCCGGCGGCGAUGGAGUCGGUCAGGUCCUUGGUGGCGUGGCUGUGGUUGGUGCCGCCCACGGUGACCGCCUCGUCCUCGAGGAGGGACUUGACGCCGCAGGUGGGCUUCCAGUGGAACUUGACGUAGUGCGCCUUGCCGGCGCGGUUGACGAGCGUGUAGGUGUUGACGCCGGAGCCGUCCAUGUGGCGGUAGUCGGCGGGCACGCCCACGUCGUCGAAGAGGAAGGUGAACAUGUGGAGCGACUCCGGGUGGUGGGAGAAGAAGUCGAGGAUGCGCCAGUUCUCCUGGAUGUGGGUCUUGGGGUUGGGCUUGAGCGCGUGCACCAUGUCCGGGAACUUCAUGCCGUCGCGGAUGAAGAAGACGGGGAAGUUGUUGCCGACCAGGUCCCAGUUGCCCUCCCGGGUGUAGAACUUGAUGGCGAAGCCGCGCGGGUCGCGGAGCGUCUCGGGGGAGCCGCGCUCGUGGAUCACGGUGGAGAAGCGCACGAUGACGGGGGUCUGCACGCCGGGGGCACGGAGGAAGUCGGCGCAGGUGAGGUGGGACACGUCGUGGGUCACCUCGAAGAAGCCCUUGGCGCUGGCGCCCCGGGCGUGCACCACCCGCUCCGGGAUGCGCUCGCGGUCGAAGUCGGCGAUCUUCUCCACCAGGUGGUAGUCCUCCAGCAGGAUUGGGCCUGAAUUCACAGUCACAGUACAUACAAGCAUCGUCAGUAAAUCAAUUUGCAGGCGUCGUCAGCAUCAAACACUCGAUUGAUAAUUUGAUAUGCAUGGUAUGUUUGUCCUGAAUUGUUCUUAAUCUCCUCUAUGAUUAUUAACACUUAAAGAAUAAUCAAGUUCUUUGUGUCUUUCUUUCACCAUGAAUGAUUCAGUUGUUCCCAAUCCUANNNNNNNNNNNNNNNNNNNNNNNNNNNNNNNNNNNNNNNNNNNNNNNNNNNNNNNNNNNNNNNNNNNNNNNNNNNNNNNNNNNNNNNNNNNNNNNNNNNNNNNNNNNNNNNNNNNNNNNNNNNNNNNNNNNNNNNNNNNNNNNNNNNNNNNNNNNNNNNNNNNNNNNNNNNNNNNNNNNNNNNNNNNNNNNNNNNNNNNNNNNNNNNNNNNNNNNNNNNNNNNNNNNNNNNNNNNNNNNNNNNNNNNNNNNNNNNNNNNNNNNNNNNNNNNNNNNNNNNNNNNNNNNNNNNNNNNNNNNNNNNNNNNNNNNNNNNNNNNNNNNNNNNNNNNNNNNNNNNNNNNNNNNNNNNNNNNNNNNNNNNNNNNNGAACAUCACUAUAGUAUGUCUGAACAUUUUUUGUAAUCUCGGACUUCGUAUCUAGCUCAGUUUGCCCUGACAAUUUGAAUCCCCAGCGAGCCACUAAUCACUUAGGAUUGCAAGGUAAUCAACUUUCUUUGUGCUGUCUGAAAUUAAAGCUAGUACCAGGUUUCACUUCUACAAGCUGGUGUUAAUCCUCGACGACUUAAUGGAAUUCUUAUGGUAGAAAGUAGGAAAUGUGAAUUGGGUGUGGCUAGGUCUUAGUUGACGACUUAACCAAGUCUAAAUCAAGUGAUAUAGUAGUAUGUAAGAAGAAGAAAAAACUGAGACAUAUCAAAGGAAGAUACUAUCGACUGAGGCAUGACAAAGUCUCAGUCGACUGAGACUUAGCAAGACUGAUGUGAAUUUUGUAACAAUGAAGAGAGCAUUGAUCACUUAUUCUUUUCUUGCUCACUAACUAGAUUCUUAUGGAAUGUUACUGGGGCUGCUUUGGGAAAUUCCAAAAUCUUUUCUCGAUUUAUGCCAGAAUUGGUUACCUAGCUAUACUGGCAAGGAUAGGGCUAUGAUCUCUAUAGGCGUUGCUGGACUUUUAUGGAUCAAUUUGGAAAAGAAUGAACAAAUCUUGCUUUCAAAGUUAUAUUUUCUAAUGAUCUAACGAUUGUUAUAUUUUCUUUAUGUUGUCUGCUGGAUUCGUGUUCAUGGAUUGUUCUAUAGAAAAGAGGGUUGCAGAGAAUUGCUGCUCAUAAUGUGUAGAAGACGAGUGAAAUCUUCAAGGGAGGGCAUGGCUGGGGGCCUACGGUCAAAAGGAUGCAUGCGUAUCAGUGAAGUGAUUUUGGGCUUUGCUGAAUGGUUUCAGUGUUUUUCUCUUUACAUGUUGUGUGUAAUACUUGCUAGUAUAUAACAAGUCUCUUAUCUGAGUUGAGUCACCUAGUUAAUCUAGGCAGUGCUUGAUGCUUAGCGUGUACUCCCUCCGUUCGAAAUUACUUGUCGCAGAAAUGGAUGUAUCUAGACGUAUUUUAGUUCUAGAUGCAUCCAUUCCCGAGACAAGUAAUUCCAAACGGAGGGAGUAGUUGCUGGGUGUGACAGGGUUUGUAUCUCCCCUACCCCUAGUUAAGUUUGUGUUACUUCUAGUUUAGACCUCUGAUCUGAUGUAGGCCGGAUGUAUGUCUUGAGGAGUGUAUGGCUGUUAUUGCCACAUCUUUGUACUAGAAAAAUACUCUGUUUCCUUAAUUGAAAACGGGGGCCUGGAGGCUCCUCUGAUGAAAAAAGAAACUCCGGACGAUUUUAUUAGUAACAAAUUAAAGCUACGGCGCACCACUUUGCUCUGCUGUAGUGCUACUAUGACUCGGAUGGAGAGAGAGCGGCCACACCACACGUCCGUGGUUCGGCAAGCAGUGGGACACGAAGGGAAGGGAAGGGAAGGAGAGCGGAUGGUAUAGGGUAGGGUACCUCGGGAUCCGACGGUGAGGGAGUUGUCGUUGUUCCAGACGGGCGCGCCGGAGUUGGUGCUCCACAUCGGGGCGUUGAAGGAGCUCGACGGCCGGUACUGCACCACACACGCAGCGCACACGACUCCCCAUCAAAACCGCAAGCCAAGAACCAGCGCGAGCUACCUGGGCAGCGGAGAGCAGAGCACGCACCUUGUAGGGGUCCAUGGCGAACGGAGGAAGCAACGAUCGAUCGACUCGACGGACGGCCGGCGGUGCGCGCGCGGAAUGACGACUAGGCGAGCCCCGCCGCGCGGCGCGGAUGCUUUAUAGCGGGAACGAGAGGGCGAGAAAGAUUUGUCCCCGUGCCGGACGCUUCUGGGUUGUUUUGAUCGUGGGCGUACGUGUGCUUGUGCCUGCUCCGGGGGUCGGGUGGGCGGAUACGGGCCGCGCGCGCCUCAUCCACGCGCGCCCCGCCGGGCGCUCCCCGGCCAGAAUAAAACGGGCAGUUUCCGGCGCGGCCGUCGGAUAAACGUGAACUGGGUGUGAACGGGGCGGGGGAUGCGAAUUUGGCACAUGGCCAUGGCACGCACGCGACCGUGCCACGCCGGAAGAGCCGCCUGCCUUGCCCGGAAGGAACUAGUAGCCAGACAAAAAAAAGAAGAGAUUUUUCACCUCACCUCUUUUCUCCUACUGCUACUGAUGAAGAUUUUUCACCUCAUGCGUCAAGUGAACCGCCAAGUUACACGUUGGGCAUUGCGCGAAAAUUACUCGAGACGUCAGAGCUUGUGCCGCUCGCUUCAGUGUGCUUCUCUCUUCGGUGCUUCACACACCAUCUUACAAAACCUUUUUCAAAACUGCUCUGUAAGCAUUCACCAAAGGUGCCUGCAUAGGAAUCAAGCAAAUCUGGCGCCGCGUCUUCUAUGAAUUAUAUAGACAGCAAAAAUACAUGGGCGCUAAGAUCAGGGCAGAAAGACAGCGGACACAUGAUUGUACUUUUAAGACCACCACGAUUCAAUAUGUAUGUACACCGACGACCCAAGGUACUACUACCAACAGCAAUAUACCACAGUUUAACCACCACGACACGACACAGGACUCAUGUAUGCAUGCAUGCAUGCAAAGGGUAGCCAGUAGAUACACUGGUUUAUUCAUCCAUCUUAAAACCACAUAGAAUCUAGAGAUGCUGCCUUUCAAUCUCACCGAGACCGGCUAGGGUAUACAACCAAUCAAACCUCACAAUGCCAACUACUACUAU
rnacentral:lncRNA from 1 species